UGGAAGCAAAGUGGAUGCUCGUAAAUCAUCGACUUUCUUUGUAAGACAAAAAGGUGAAUUCUCCAAUCCAAAUAUUUUCUUCGCGAUCUUUUUUUUCGCAUCAAUAAUAUCAUCUUCUCAUAUUUUUAGGAGGUCAAUUGUCAAUUGUUCUUUCAGCAUUCUAUGCUGUCACCUAUCUUCAUUUGGCUUCUGCGAAACAGAGAGUGAAAAUUAUUGGGUUUUUUUUUCUUUUCAAUUUACUUCUGAUUCUGGUAAAAUUUUCCAUCAAGUUUCCAAUCUGAAACAUGAUUAAACACAUAAAAGCGUGAUAAAACACAAGGCUAGUACUGGAUUCUCAAUGUUCAAUCCAGACUUUUAGAGCUGCAAGCCUGGGAUUCUGGAAAAUAUACUUGUUUUGAUUUGCACGAGUUUGGUCUGUAUCAAUUUCUCAAUAAAGAAAGCGAACACCACGUGUGUUCGUGAUGUGGCUGAUGGUUCUCGACCAUCAUGAACAUUUUUCAUUUCCUAACAAUUUGAUCAGCAAAUGCGUGUGGAACAUUUUUGUGGGCCCUUUUGGGCUUUAUUAGGAACCUCAGGGCCUUAAUUUCUUGCUUUUCUUUUGCCGAAGCCCAAACUGUUCGACUCCAUCUAAUGCAAAGUAGUGCUUAGCCAAGGAAAUCCCAGAUCAUCUUCAGUAUAUUUUGGUGUAAAGAAUAAAAGCAUUCUUUACACUACGAUGCAACUUCUAUAUGGUGAGUCAUUUGACAACUAUAAAAAGCGAGGCGCGACUGUGUAUAGCUGCUCUCUUUUGAUCAUAAACUGGUUUAAGUUCAGAAUCAUUAGCCAGUCUUCUGAAUUUCCCGAAGAUCCUUGCUGAUUUGCACCUAAACCUCUUAUGAAUUUCUCUAGGAUCCUUGCUCCUUUGCACUCAAACCUUUCCAUCAAGACUUUUAACUCCCAAGAUUUUAACAAAUCCCCCCAUUAAAACACAGAAUACCAGUCCCAUCUACUUGGUUAGAACUUUUUGGCUCAGCAUUUGCUAGUCCCACACUGUAAGUUUCACGUGAUAUCGAUAAACAAGGCACUAAAGUACAAAGAUGACGACAAUAAUAGAACAAAAAAAAAUGACCAUGAUUGUGCUGUAAUUCUUUCCUGACUACUUAAACAAGAGCAUGAUGCUGCUCUCCAGACAUAGGAAAAGAAGAUAGCCAACCAACCCAUCAAGCAGUUCAUCAACAAGGAAAAGCAUAAGAUCACACAAUAGGUCGAACAUUAAAUAGAGAGACCAAGGUUAACAAAAAUGAUAAAAGUUUUUUAUAUUGUGAUUACCUGGUCUAUGGAGUAUUGCAAACAUAUCAAAAAGGAAAUUAAGCAAGUUAACAGCUAAGCUUCUCAUUAAAAACAAAUUUUCAACCAGACUGCCUUCAUAUUCUAAUUGUUGAUGAUCCAUACAGCCUGCAAUUGUAGAGGAAAAAUAUAAUCAGCCUCAGAUCAAUUUCAUACCAAAAACAAUUCAGAAACAAUUUAAACAAAAGCUUAAUAGGACCACAUGACCAUUUUCAAUAACCAGAAGGAAAAACAAAUAUGGAAAAUCAAGGGAAUGUUAAGUUUAUACACAUCUAGGCAUGACGCAUGUCAUAAAUUCUGCAGAGACAAAAGGACCAAAACAUCUUGCAUCAUCUUUGGUGUACUAUAAUAAAUUAAUCAUAACUAGUAUGGUUCUAAUUAUGUUGUCUGGGUGCCAUUUUUACACAUAAUAGAACAUGAUGGAGAUGGCAAAACUAACACUAGAAAAGUAGAUGGACGGGUAACUACAUUGGUAAAAUGCUAAAAUAAUCCAAACCAUUAUCAAAUCAUGAGAAUAAUUAAAGGAACUGCACUAGCGCAUCCAAAUCAUAGCAAAUCCAAUUUGUGUGCGCAAACAAUGCAUACAUAACUUAUAGUAAUUUUCAAGCCAAUAUUGUCAAAUGACUUUCAUACAGAAACCGAUGUGUAUAACACAAACAGGUAUAAAACUAAAUUCAAUUCUUAAUUAUCAAACAAGCCACAACUUAUCAAUCCAACCACUUCCUAAUCACCACCAUUAAAUGAUUAAUCCGUGUAUCAACUUCAUAUUUAUCCCAAUUGCAUUCAUAAUUGAGAAAAUAAAAACAAUCGAUCCUCCAUGUAUCACCACUAACAAAUCUCUUAACCAAAUAAUCAAUAAAAAAAUUAUCAUCAAUAAAAAACAAAAACUUGAUACUGAAAUCAACACAUUACCUAAGAAGCCCCAACAAUGAUAUUAUUAAUUGGGAUAAAAAUCAACUUCACGAAGAAUCCAACAAAUCCCAUAACCACGAAUCCAAUUGCAGUACGAGACGCCACCUUUGUGAAUUCUACAAAAAAAAAUCAAGCUUUUAAAAAUCCCUGAUUUUUUUACUAUAAUAUUCCAAUCAAAAAAUUGAAAAAACAAAAAAAACCUUUUUGAUCGGGUUUGUGGCAGCGUUUGACGAGUCGGACGCUGUCUUUAGCGAAUUCUCUGAGAGGAUCGACGACGGAAUCUAUGGCGUCCAUUUUUGUUGAGGAUUGAAUGGGAGAUCGAGAAACCCUAGGUAGAUUGAAUUGGGAUUUUUUCUUCUUCUUUUUUACAGAGAGCGUUUAUUACAAGAGUAGCUGACGGUUAAGACACGUUUUUAUGACAAGUGUAACGGAAAAAAAAGGAGACUUUACCUAGGUCAAAGUUGGAAAGUAAAAUUUAUUUUUAUUUUUAUUUAUUUAUUUUAUUGGACUGAAGCAAACCUUGAAUAAUUUUGACAAAAAUAUUGCUGGGACAAUAUCAUUCUUUUUUCUAGGGUUGCUAGUGGAAUAUCAGAGCAGGAAAGAAUUUAGUUUUAUCAAAUUAUAUAUAAAAAACUCUUGAUGUUACUUUGAUAUUUAGUCGAUACUAAAUUAUAUAAGUAUUUAUUUUUAUUAUUAUAUCAUUAAAUAAAAAAUAAUUUUAAAAAAUAAAAUUGUUAAACUUAUUAGGUUUUAUAAUUCAUGUCACGGAUUUAAUAGAUUAAAAUUUGAAGUUCAGAUUGAUCUAAUAUAUAGUCAUCUCAAUAUUAAAAAAAAUAUUAUCUUGAAAUUAUUAUAAAAUUAAACUAUAUUUUUACCGGUCACUUGAGUUGUCUUUGAAUUCAUUAAAUCGACUAGAUUACAUCAUGACAACUCUCCUAGUUUAAUUUUAAAACAGGAUUAAAAAAGGAGUUAGGUCAGUAACAUUCAAAGUUGACUCAUUAGGUCAGGUUUUAUCAGGUUAAAAGAAUUCAAGUUUGGUCCCUUUAAAGCCUCAUAUUUUUUUUAAAGUUCAUACUUUUAUUUUAUUUAACUCAUAACAUAAAGCAAGAAAAAAACUACUAAAACAAAAAAUUAAUACUUAAUACUAUAUAUAUUGAAGAAAACCCUAAUAGUAUUGAAUAAAAUAGAAAAUAGAAAAACCUAAUAACAUUAAUUAGAAAAAGAAAUUUUCUUAAAUGAAGAAGAAAAAUAAUUGUAUUUUCUUAAAAAAAGAAUUAUUCAUUAGUCUUCUCAAAUUAAAAAUCCUCAAAUUCAACUUAUUUUCGCAUUGAUCUUGUAGAUAUUUAGUCAAAACUCUCCAUCAAUUUUUUUAUUUGCUUCAAGUAUAUAAUAAUUAGAAAUAUUAGUUUCAAUCCCUUCAUGUUAAUUUUUGUAUAAAAACAUCAAUUAUUAAAUUAUUUUUCUUUUAUUGUCUCGAUGAAUUGCAAACAUCAAACUUGCUUCAUCAAUACAUGUUAUAUAUAACUUGCUUCAUCAACACAUGUUGUAUAUGCAUAGUAAUUAAAUGCAUAACAUGGCCUAAAUCAAUAGUUUUUUUUUCUUUGUUGAGCUCCAUCCAAGUUAUUUUUUUGGCACUUAAAUUCCAACCCGUCAUGAUAUCGUAUCAUCAUUAUUAAUACUAUCAUUUUUACACCAUAAUUAAUCAUCAUCAUGAAGUCAAUUGAUGAAUUCUCCAAGUUAGUCCAUCCAUGAUAUCCUUUUCUUUUCUUUCUUGUCUCCAUUUUUCCUUGUUUGAAUUAUAACCCAAGGAACACCAGGGAGAGAUAAAAGCACAGAUUUUUCCAAUAAUAUGACCCCCCGUCUAUCUAGUUGCUUAAGAAAAUAUCAAAAGCAACGGCUCACUAGAAAUAACAUUUCUUCCCCUAAUACAGUGAGCUCGGAACUGCAACUCUGGUGUUGAGUUGCUUAAUAAGAGUCGGAGAUCCCAACCAUCCACGUUAAAAGUAAACCAAGUGCUUGAGAAAUCCAACUGGAUAGAAAACUAUGGGCGACUUUCCAAGUCCCUUCAUCUCAUAUAAAAGCAAAAUCAAAUUAAAAGUAAAAAUCUCAGCAAAGAUCUUCCAGGAGAGACAUUCAAAUUCAAAUGGUAGCAUAUGACGCAAUAGAACCAUUCGAAUCAGUAACAAAUAGAUCAUAAAUUAAUAAACUGCACAUCAGAUAAAGUUAGCAAGUUAUAGCAGCAAUUGUAGAGCUGCCAUACACUGAAGUUAAAAAUCUUAAGAAGUCUCUACAGCUACGGACAACUUUCCAGAAAACAAUAGCAAGCAAGCACAUUUAGAUAUCAUAUGCACUCAAAUUUCCCAGUAAUAUUAGCCAAGGCCCUUGUUAGCCUCUGUCGCGCCUCUGCAUCCGAGAAGCUUAACUGCAGAGAAAAAACAAGGACAAAUAGUUGGACAAUCAUAGGGAAAGCAAUGGUAAGACAUCAUAUGGUAUUGAAUGGGAAGAAUAACAAAGCAUAGCCAUUUCUCUUUCUUUUAUUGACUUGAUCACUAGUCACAGCAACAGCCAGAAGAAGUUAAAAGAAGCAGAUCCUGAAUUUGACAGCACAAGAAUCACCUGUAUGAUUUCACAAACUCAUGCCAUUGCAAUAAAAGUCAGAAAAAAAGCAUAAACAAAACAAAUAUAUAUUUUGAUGUGACAAUUUUGACAUGUCGAUGAAUAAAAGAAGGUAUAGUUGUCGUUUUGAUUCUCAUAAGCAAAAGACACAAUUAAUCACAUUGAGUUUAGAAAUCCCAUAAUAUUCUCUCUUUUUCUUAGUCUUUGGGAUAAUAUGAGACGAGCUGAGAUAGCUUGAACACAUCCAUGAAGACAACAAAACAGACUGUCCCUUCAUAUGCAAAAUAAAUCCUUGUAACAGAAUAAAGCAAAUCAUAAGGAGUUGAAAACUAACAUAUUAUAAGAACUUUGGAAUUUUUCAUGGGUUGGAAAUGUCUGCAAACUGAAACUUUAAGUAGAGUUUAACAUUGAAGUUGAAAGGACCUUUAACGAUAAAUAGAAGCAUCCUAAGGUUCACAUUUCAUUUUGCCUAAAAAGUAGAUAAUUUGGAGCCUUUACAUCCCCAUUGAUUGACCAAAAAUACUCAGCACUCGGUGCUUAUAUGAGAAGGGCUAAUGAAGAGGAACCAAAAAAACAUAAGUUUAGUUUGAUAGGAGAGAGAAAUCACCAAAGCUUCAGCACACAUUGCACACAAGGCAUGCACUUUAACAAUAUACCGAGUUACUGACAGCCAUAAAGAUGGGUUGGUAUAGUGGCACAGGAAUACACAAACAAGUGUCAAAAGGAAAGAAAUACACAUAUAGAAACAUAAUACAUGUAUUGGGUGGUAGCAUGGAGAAAACAGAACAGCUCAGAGAUAAUACGACAAAAUCGAAGGGUUUUACGUGAAAUACAAUUUUAUGACAAACACCAACAGCAAGAAAGGAAACAUUUGGAAAAAAAAUAUUGAGAAAUUUCCUUAUUAAGUUCUUCCGACAGGUAUGAUAUAUGGUAUGGUCCGAGAAGAUCCAUGAAUUUUAUAAACCAAAGACACAAUCAAGAUUUUCUCAGGAAAAUAAGACUUAUACCCAACCAUCACCCAAGAAGAAAGGGAACUAGAAACAAAAAUCAGGCAUUUCCACGGUAUGUUGCUACUCGGUCUGCCAGGUAGCAAAAGACAGCCUAAUGUUUAUUCUAAUUUUAACAGAAUCUAAAUACAAAAAACUUAGAAGUGAAAUAGCAUCGUCCCACACAGCACACCUCACAUAUAUAGAAUAAAGAACAAAAAUUAACCACGUAAAUUACUCAUCAAGUUCAGAACACAAAUAAAAAUCAAUAGCUUGUAUCAUCAUUCCACACAUGUUAUGCAUACACUUUACACCAGCAUUUAAAGAAAAACUCCCUCGAGUGAAAUCCCAUCAAGUAAUGUUGAUCAAAAUCAAAGAAUAUCAGAACAAAACUGUCUCUAGGUCUAGAUAAAGCCUUUAUUUGACAAAGGACAAUCCUCAUUCUCUAAUCCUUCCUCUAAGAGAGACAUUAUAAUAAAAAAGAUUUACAUUGCACACAUGUAGAAAUCAAACAACUUGAGCUCUUAUAAACAACCAUUUGAUGACUGUAUGACACAUCUCCAUUCUUCUCGACCUCAAAUACUUCCUAUGGAAACCAUCAAUGUAUACAGGCUACUUCAGUUGCGGUAGUGUCCAUUUGCUGUAGCUUAGAAGGAAUUUAGAUGGUAAUAACACAAUAAUGACAGUCUAGUUUAUAAUUUCCAGUCCUGGUCCCAGAGGCUAAAAGGAAAGAAAUAUACAUGCCACGACAUUAAAAAAACAAGUAUGUGAAAGUAAAAGGAAGUUCAUAAACUGAUCACAGUUACUAAUACUACAAUUUCUUUGGGUGAUCUAUGAUGGGGAGAAAAUAGAACUAUUUAAAGAUAGGUCAAAAUUGAAGACUGUCAACAAAAUACAAUUUUCAGGCAAACACCAAUAGCAAGAGAGGCAACAGUUUAAGACAAAAUUGAGAAAUUUUCUUAUUAAGUUCUUUGUACAUGCACAGGGUGACCCAUGGUAAUAAGGAAAUGGAACUGAUUGUCCCGGGAAAUCAUAUUAGGACCACAUUGAAGAUUUUAUGAACCAAAAAAGAUUUGAAAAAAUCAUUGACGAUUUUCUCAACGAAAAAUAAUUUUCAUUCAACCACCAAACAAGAAGAUAGAAAAAAAUCAGGCAUUUUUUCCUUAAUUUACUCACGCGAGCUCCUACGCAGACUCGUGUGCCAAAUAACAAAAGACAGCCUAAUAUUUAUUCCCUUAACAGAAAUUCCAAAUACUAAAAUUCUACAACCGAAACAACAUGGUCCCACAAGGAGCACCGUACAUAUAGCAUAAACGACAAAGAUUAACCUCACCAAUUUUAGAAAAUGUACUUAUACUUGUCAAAUUCUAAGAGUACAAAUGAAAAAUUAUUAGACGGUAAAGUUAUUCCCACAUGUUAGCAUACACUAAACACCACCCUUUUUAAGAGAAUCACUUUUGAUGGAAAUGUCCUUAAGCAGUGUGAUCAAAUUAAUGACAAUCUGAACAAGCUUGUCUCUUGUUAUAGAAAAGUAUUUUUUUUACAACGGACAGAAUCUUUGUUCUUUGACCCUCUCCUCAGACAUCCAUGGUGAUCAAAAUGAUUGACAUCAUACCUUCAUUGAUAAUCAAACAACUCAAGCUUUCAAACAAGCUUGUCUCUUGUUAUAGAAAAGUAUUUUUUUUACAACGGACAGAAUCCUCAUGCUUUGACCCUCUCCUCAGACAUCCAUGGUGAUCAAAAUGACUGACAUCAUACCUUCAUUGAUAAUCAAACAACUCAAGCUUUCAUUGACGUCCAUCCUAUGAUUCGCCCUCCAUUCUUUUCUUAAACUUAAACAAUUCCUCGUGGUGACCAUCAAUGUGAAUAGAAUACUUAACACAAACAAUAUCCAUUUGUUGUGGACUACAAGGGAUUUAGGAGAUAACAACACAAAUAUGACUGCUACUAUAUAACUUUUUCUGGCUCUAAAUGUUAACCUGUAUUUAUUAGAAACAAUCCAUCAAAAGUUCUUCAUUGUCGCGUGCUUGAACCAACCAACAUAAGCGUACAGAACCCACCAAGGUGCCAACAAGUGGCUAACACCUUUAAGCAUGGGCAUGCAAAAGAAAUCCUCUACACAAAGAUAAUGAAAAUGCAUAAAGCCAGACUGUUUUGAGCAAAACUCAGCUGCAUUCAACUCAAAUAGGCGAAAAGACUGCUUCUUUACCAUUAAAGUGAUAUCUAACAGCCAUUAAACCACUGCAGACACAAAUCUACCAUAUUCUAACUAGGAGGAACCACCAAACCACUAAAAAUUUGCUUCUUUUCCAGGUUUCAUUUAUCUCCUAUACAAAAAAAUAACCUAAAACAAGCCAAGACAUAAAUUUCAAACAACAGAAUUUAUUACCCCAUAAAAGAUUUCCCCCAAAUGACUCCAAAGCAUCCCCUUUGAACAAAACCCAGAAAUCAUCUCAAACAAUCACUUCAUUACGACAAAACCCACGUUCCAAAUCCACACAAAAAAAGUACACAAAAAUGAGAAACCAGACUCCAAAACAUGAAAAAUGCGAAAACACUAAACAUAAAAAAAAUAAAAACAUACUCUUGUCCAUCAAGAUUCCCUUGUCCACCACUCGCACCACCACUCCCAUAAGAACCAUCUUCGGUGGCAGCUGUCUGCCAAACAGACUGCCAAGCCUGAGAUGGUGGUUGAACAUACACCCCAGUGGCAGGAUCCAUGGCUGGCCUUCCGAUCAUCAUCCCUCCAGUGGCAGCGGCAGGCUGUCCCAUCGGAGGGUAAUAAUAUGGCACCCCACUAGCCGUAGCACCGACAAUUCCACCAAGACCAGCAGCUUCCUCUUUGAUCUCAUCUCUAGGUACAAUAUCAACCAAGAAAUCAAAAAUGUCAGUUCUUGUAAUAGCAGCAGCAAUGUCAUUCUUCUGUAAAGUCCUUCUCUUGUUUUCCUCAGCGUGAAGCCAAGAACGAAUUGUCAGUUCUAAAAUGAAAAGCUCACAUGCUUUAGCAAAGAGAAUAGGUGCUUCAGCAGAGAUCAUGCGCACAUCCUCGUCAGCUUUCAUGAUUUUCUUGAUUCUUGCUAAAGGGAGUUGAUGGUUCUUGAAAUCAUUAACUUGUUCAAUUUCUUGACGUUGGUAAGACCAAAACAUUUGAAGUUGUUGCUGUUGUUGUUGGAGGAGGUGGUGGAAUGGGGUUGAGGAUGGUGCUCCACCUGCUGGAGGUAGUGGUGGAGUGGUGGUGAUGGAUUGCGUUGGGUAUGCCGUGGGCUGAGGCUGGUGAUUGGUGGUGGUGUUGUCCAUUGUUGGAAACAAAAGUUGUUUUCGUGUUUUGUUUUGUUUAUUUAUUUAUUUAUUUUGAGGGUUGGAGAUGCGAUGAAUGGGGGGGAUGAAGAGAUAAGGUGGAGGGUUUCAGUGCUUUCUGUCCCUGUGAUUUGCUGAUUUGUUCAUUUAAUUGAAUGACUUUUUCUGUUCCUCUUGUUUGGCUUCUUUUGUGUCAUUUUUGUAAUUUUAUUUUAACAACUAGGAUAUCAUAAUAUUUCUAGUGUGGGGCCCGAUCUUUUUUUUUUUUUUACAUAAAAAAUCACUCGAGUAAUAUAUUUAAAUAGCUCAGCUAACUCGAUUAACACUGAUAAAAAAAUACAAUAAUAAUAAAUAUACUUAAAAAAAUAAUAUUUAAACAAUUUAAGCAUUUUUAUUGAUUUAAUUAGGUUAAAUAAAUUCAAUUAAUUUAAUAAUAUGAUUAAAAAAUAUAUAUUGAUGGUAAAUAAAUGACAAUAAUUAGCUAUAAAAAAUGAAUUGUAAUAUAAUAAUUUCAAUGAGAAGAAAGAAAAGUCCAUUAAAAACUUAUCAUCAAAAAGAGCUUAUCAAUAUAGUUUUAAUGCCAAUGCAGAAAGCUGGACAACAACAUAAAAAAAGAUCACAAGCGCCGCAAGAGCAACUACUCAAAAAAUAAAUUAAAUAAAAUAUCAUGAUAUGAGUAUCUCAUGCUUAUAUUUAAUUAAUUAAUUUUGUUAAGUAAAAAAAUCUCUUUAAAAAAAAUCUAAAUUUAACAAAUAAAAAAACUUGAGAUAACCUAGGUCAUUUUUAAAUCAUAUUUUUUUCUAUAGAAAAAAAUAAAAAAAUCUAAUAUUCAAUUAAAUAAAUUCUGAAGGAUGAAACUAAAAAAACGUGAGCUUAAAAAAAAGGAAGAAGGGGGGGAACCAAACAAACACAGAUGAAUCUUCUAAACCUGCGUUAAUCAACCAAACUCGCCUAAACUCGAGUUCAAUCAAGAACCUCAAUUCCCAAAUAAUUUACUGUCGAAAAACAAAAAUGAAAAAAUAAUAUCAAUUUAAAAAAUUUAUCAAAGUAAAAAAAAUAUCAAUAAAAAAAUGAUCAAAUCUAAUAGGAAAACAAACUAAAGGAGGAUAAAAUCAUAAAAAAAAUUCAAUUUUAAAAACCAUUUCAAAUAAAAUAAAUAGUAAUAAAAAAAUAAAAAUCAAAAAAAUUAAAGAAGAAAGCAAUUGAAAAAUCUACUUUUUGGCAUGGAAUUUACUUUAUUAAUACAAAAUGUUGGAGUUGAUUAUGGUUUCUUUCUUUUUUUUUGGUCUAAGUGAAAUUCUUUGGUAGAAUUCAAGUUAAUGUGCAAUGUAGCAUUUGACAAUUUAAUCCUCUGCUGUUUUUUCUAGUGUGCAUUGGAAAUUUAAUCCAUGAAAUUGAGAUUUGCUUAUCUCUUCAAGGGAUUAAAUAGGAAGAUGAAAAAUAAAAAUACAAAAAAUUGGGUAAACUUCUUCAAAUUCCAAUAAUUAUUUGAAGAAGGAAAGAAGAAAAAAAAAGAUAAAGUUAUGGAUCCCGGGGUCCAUUAUUAUUUUUAUACUUUUAGUGUUCUUUCAUCUUAUCAAUAAGAUGAACAAAUAUUAAUGAAGUGUUAGUCUAGCGGUAAAGAUAUUGUUAUAUUCUUGUAAGGGUAAGAACACAAGUUCGAUCUCCAGUAAGUGCAUUUAUUGGGAGGGGCAUGCAUGAACCCCGAAUAAAACUAGUUUCACUAUUUAAAAAUGAUGUGAGGAUACCCGAGCAAGAAAAAAAAAUAAGAUGGACAAAUCCUCUACCCAUCAAACUCUAUCCAUUAUUCUUAAAAGAAAUCUAGAGUUUUUAUUUGAAAAUACAAGUUAAUUUGAAGAAAUAGCCAAGAAGCAAGUACUGAUCCCAACAAAAAAAAACAAAAAAAACAAGGAAACGGAUUAAUUUUACACAAUUUGUGAAUUCAGAGAAUGGAAGAAUACUAAGAAUUUUGUAUAGCAUGAAGCAUAACAAAGAGAGAGAGAAAGAAAGAGUAUAAAGCUCGACGAGUCUUCUGCUUGAUAAUAAUACUAUAAUAAUAACAAUGAUAAUUUUAUAAUUUUUUUACCAUUUUUAAAAGAAAUUCAAGCUAUGCCAAAAUAAUUUGUUUCCAAUAAAUAAGAGUAAUGGGAAUAUCAUUAUGAUUAUUAUUUUUAAAAUAUUUUUUCUUGAAAAUAUAUUAAAAUAAUUUUUUUAAUAUAUUUAAAAAAUAUAAAAAAAUUAAUUUUAAAAAAUAUUCAAUUUUAUAUGGAACACGGUUUCUUCCCAAACAACCACCCAGAAAUAAAACCAUACUUACGAAGCAAUCAAGUUUGGUCAAAUAAAACGUCAAUUUUCAAGUGUCUCGGCUGGCAACAUUUCUUUGACAUAUGGCAACAGACACUACUGCUACUACUGCCUAUCAAGUCUAAAAUAUUAAUUACUCAUAUUUGCACGUGCAAAUGGGAAAUGCCAUUCUAUCUUUGCUUAAAAAAAGAAUUAUAAUGUUCAUCACUAUCAUGAAUCGUAAUCUUAUAUCAGUAAGUAUUUGUUAUAGUUUUAUGCAAAAAAAAAAAAAAAAAAAAAAAAGAGCUAACGACACUGUUAUUUGUUUAAGAUUAAUGUAGGUGUCUGGAUCAGUUUGCGCGUAUCUCAACUAAUCCUACAAGCCCUGAAGUUAACGAUCAUGUAAAUCUUUAGUGACCUUAAGAUUUGUGGGACUCAAACUGAUAAUCUUUAAGAAACAAAUCCAGAACCUGACCAGUUAAGAUACAUCCCUCAGGAUUAAUUACAUUGUUAUUAAACUUAAUCCACUUAGUAUUGCCAUGUUAUUUGCUCCAAUUAAAACUAAUUUAAAUUUUUUAAAAAAAACUUAAAAUAUUAAUUAUUUUUUAUUUAAUCUGAAUUAACUCGAAUAAUUCAUAAAUCAUAACAUAAGAUUAGUUCUCGAUUAGGUGGAAUGAAGAAUAGAAUAAAAGGUUAAUGUGCACAUACCAUGCCUUUAUCACCCUGUCAAUUCCACAGACUUAAUAACCAAUUAUACGACGUAGUGCCAUCAUCACAUGAUGCUUUGCAUCUUUCUAAAAAGCUUUUCUUUUUUGUUUUGAUCAAAUGGGCGAAGGCAUAUUUCAUUGUUGCUUGAUAUGCUCCACAGUUUUGACUAUCCAUCUUCUAAAAGAAACCCUCUUUAACUGCUCCCUUUGAGAUGCCCCUUCCCUAUCACACGAGAGAACACACAGAGGAGCAGGGUGAUGCUAGGUUACAGGAGAUGCACCUGUUCAUUAGCCUCUACAAUUUAUUAAAUAACAGGAGCGCAUGCAUGCACUUUUUUGUGUUCUACACACCUUGCAGUAAUGUAUCAGCGGGGCGCUCGACCUUGAGCUAUAUGCAGUGAGGGGAGAGCAAGAGAAACUCAGCGGUAGUUCAAAAGAUUUUUGAGGGACACCAACACUAGUUUAGCUUCUGCAACCAUACCAGUAAUGACUAGAGAAAUAAAAUGGUAUGCUGCCAAUCUUUCCAUGAGAGAAUAGUUAAAUCAUAAACAAUUAAAAACAAACCCCUGGUUAGCGUGCAGUUAGAAUGCAAGAUUGGAGUCAUAAGCUAAAUGAGAAAUAAUUUGCUUGACACACCAGAAUAUAAGAGAAAGAAGAGGGUGGGAUGUUGUGUCUGUUCUGUGUAUCAAAGAAGUAACAGAUUCUGGGGCCUUUCUCUGGUGUAAAAGAAUUAAAAGGUGCAGUUCCUAUAACACAAAAUUGACUAGCUGUAAAAAAAAUUAUUCUUUUGGAGGGUAUCCAUAAAACAGUAUUAAGAGCAUCAGUGAGCAGCAAUAAAUGAGCUUAGCCUAUUGGAUGUCAAGCUAUAAACUCUGCUACCCUGUGUGUAAAUUCAGCCCUCCAAACUGUCUUCAAGCAACAAACAAAGCUAAGAUAAAGCCUUGAGGGCAUCCUGUAACUUCAAACAAAAUUGCAGUCCAGCCAAUGUAUAGAAAAGGAAAGAAUUGCUGAAUCAAUUUCUGUAUGAUGACUCCCCAUUAUACUUCGAGGGAAUUCUAAAAAGAAAUUCUUCUGACAACAUGGCUUGGAGUGAUCUCUAACUUCAAUUUCUUCUAACACUACUUCAACUACUUGGAAAAAACUGUCAAGUGCUUCAGUUUUAAGUACCUAACAGAGAAACUUCUAGUCUCUUUUUUUCCCAUUUCUUUCAUCACCUCCGUUUAUACACCAUUACCGUGUCUUCAUUUGUUUCCUUCCUCUUUUUCUUCCUAGCAUUAGCUACAUCUCCUCUAGCAGCCUUUCCCACCACACCUUUUUCCUCGACUGUGUUGACAUAUUCAACAAACUCUUCAUUAAAUUUUGUCAUAUCACGAGAUAAAUAUUUUUCCUUAUCUUUUUCAGCAGUCUCCAUCAUUCCAUCCAGCUGAACUUCUGAUAAUACCUGAAGUAGCUCCAAAGGAGUAGAAGCAGGAUCAAGUUCCCAGCAACCCUUGGGAGCAUUUUGACCUUCUUGACCUGUAAGCAGAACUGACGGAACCUGGUGAGAAAACCUAAACAUCUCUUCCCUUGGGAUUGUCCUGGUUUUGCUCGAGUCAGGAUGCUGGCGAAACACUGUCUUGAAACCAGCAACUUUAACAAGAGGAGCAACAGCAACUCCUCUCUCCUCUUUGUAGUCCUCAAGCACUUCCAUCAUGUCAUAUUUGUGUAUGACUUCAUCCGGGGUACGCUCAUUCCAAUCGGGAGACCAGUUUUUAUAAACAGCCCAAAUAUCACCCUUUCCAGGAUAGAUUUGAAUAGUCCCUCUUGAACCCUUCACCCACUUCACCUUGUGAGAGAAAGAAUUAAGAGACUUGUUGACUUUAUGCUUCCCUAUCCAGAAGUCUCCACUGGUCUUGUAAAAUCCGGAACCAAUCCAGUUUAGUGGGCCCAAUUCACGGUUGCUUUUGGUGUUAAGCCAACUAAUCCGCAUUUUGAAAGGCUUCCGUGAUAUCACACUAUGAAUCAUGGCAUAAUACCGAGGCAUCCCAUCAUCAUCAUCAUAAGCAGCCCAAACCUGGUUAUCACCAAAUGAACUCUCUGUGCGAUCCUUGUCAAAAUCAUGAAAAUCUGGAUCUGGAACACUCAUGACUGGCCAAUCAUUGAUGUUUGUAUCUGGAUCAUCAUUAGCAUUAAUUGGUGAAGGCUCAGUGGUGUGAGCUCUGCUCUUAGAAUCUAGAAACUCUGGACAUUCUUUCGCAUCAGCUUUUGUGCCAUCCUUCUGCUUUCCUCCCUCCUUCUUGAUAUCCUUUUCUGAAGUCUUUAGAGCAGUAGCCACACUGCUCCAUUCCUUCACCUUCUUGGAAAUAUCCUUCUUAGCCCUCUCCAUCAACAUCUUUCGAAUUUCUAUUUGUGACAACUCACUUGUGCUAUUAACUUUAUGGUUGCCAGAAAUGCUCCUCCUUCCUGCUUCUAAACUACUCUUUUGAGAACCAGAUUCACCAACUCUUCCAUUUCUGUUAGCCAACUGUUUUGCUGUCUCUCUUCCAUUACUGUUUGCCCUUUGCUCAUCAAUGCACCUUCUCUUCUGCAGCUUGUCUCCUUUCAGUACAGAACUGGAACCAUAACCACUGAAUCCAGAAGCUCCAUCCGCAACUGUUUUUGUUUUCCGGUAAAGGAAUUCCUCUUCAUGCUUUCUUUUCAAUUUCUUAGAUUGAGCACCUGACAAUGUUGACGGUGCACUUCCAAAACCGCCAUCUUUAGAAAAUGCUCCUGACUGAAACUUAGGUCCCAUAUUUGUGGAAUUUUCAGUCCUUACAUGCCAAGUAGAAUUAUGUUCUUGGCUGUAAGAAGUCCAUAUAGGGGAUGGGCCAUUUCCAUCCAUGGAUGGGGGAGGCGUCUCAACACCCAAGAAGGACCGAUGACAGUUCUGACAAAGAAGGCUGUGGUUGAGAUAAGUUCUAAGGUACUCAAAUUGUGUUUUACAUGCAUUGCAGAUUGUCCAAAAGGUAUUGGGUUUGGAAAACAGGGGAGGGGGCGCAGGCUUCGGGCGCAUAGCAUUCUUCUGGCUCCGUGCAUUGGAAUUGUUAUCAUGACCAGUUGGCACUGAUGAUUUCCAAUGUGGAACUUUUUGAUCCAUAUCUGUUACAUUCCGCUUCUGGUCAUAGGCGAUUCUCUUGGCUUUAUCGGACAACAGAUUCCAGGCUUCAGAUAUAAUAUUAAAUGCCCCAUGUGCUCCAACUGCUUUAUUUUUAUCAGGAUGCAGAAUGAGAGCCAGUUUCCUGUAAUGUCUACGGAUUGUGUCCUCACUUGCUGACGGUUCAACAUCAAGGACUCUGUACCAGUCCACUUCUCCAUUUGUUCUGUUAUCAGCAGCCAUGUGCACAUCAAGAGUUGCUAAAAGUUGUGGAAGACCAUCAAGUGCAGGAUACAGUUUUUGAGCCUUCAGUGCAAAUCUUCUUGCCCCGGCAAUGUCCCUCUCUAUAAACUUCUUCUCUGCAAUCUCUUUAACUCUAAAUGCCUCCUCUUUAUUACAUUCCAUUUUCAACCGGUCACACUGUUGGCUGUCCUUUGUAAGUACAAGCCAAUGCAAUGUUGUUGAUAUCUUAAUCACAAAUAUCAAAUCCAAAACCUGAAGUUCCUACCUGCAUCAUCAAGAAACUGCCUUCAAUUUGGCAAAAAUGAUACAAAAAAAAGAAGGAAACUAUCCCUGUAAAGAAGGGAAAAAAAAAGUCUGAAUUCCCCACAUGCAUCAUCAGGGUGCUGCCUUCAAAUGGCAAGUCCUGAUGCAUCAAAAAUGAAUCCAAAACUAGGAAUCUAUCUGAAAAGAAGAAAAAUAAUGACCGAGAUUCACGCCGAACAACACGGCCAUGAUUAAUAAAGACCACAAUGACAAAAACAGAAUAACAAAUGAUUGCUUCUUGUGAUCCAUCAAUUACAUUAAUUUAACAUCUGUUGAUCUUAACUUCUAUAAAUGAUCCCAUGGAAUUACCGGAAAACAUCAUCGAACUUCCAAGAUAAGCAAAACGGAUUCGAAAACACAUCAUUCCAAAAAUGUAUAAUCACAACGCCAUGAACGAUUCUCAAUUAUGGUAGGACCAUGAAACAAAUCAACAGGUGGGAGAUCAAACAAAAAAAUACCAACAAUCUGCUUGAUCUAUAAGAAACAACAAGAAAUGAGAGAACAAAACUCAAGGUGUCAACAAGUAUCCCAUUCAAACAACUCUCUCAGAAACUCAAGUUUCUUCAAAACAACACAACCCUCAAUCCAUAACUGAACACAAACACAAGUAUUCAACUAAAAUCAAGGCAAGCAAAAACUAUUCGCUUCACAGAUUGACAUGAAUUUACCAAAAACAAAACAUACCCAAUAUUUAACACACAAUGAGGUACGUAAAUUCUAACAACAAGAAGUAACUCACAUUCAAAGUUAAAUUCUCACUAGAAACCCACAUAUUAUUAAAACACGUUAUAAACUAGCAAAGCAAUCCCAAAUAAAGCAUAAUGUAAGUGCAAAAGCAUAAUGUAAGCAAAACAUGUAAAAAAAAAAUUCAAAAGCAGAGAAAAAUAAAAAUUACCCGUUAUCAGAAACUUGAAUCAAAGAGACCCCAUUGACGACUUAGCUGCAAAAUUGUUGAUUUUGGCCCCUGGAUCAAAUAAAACUAAAAGGAGGGUUUUUUUUUUCUUUCUUUUGGGGAAGCUAUGAGAAUUUAGAAUUCUCAAAUAAAAUGAAAUUCUACUUGUGUAUAUUAAUAUUUUUUUUUAUGAAAAAGUAGAGUGGAUUUUCUAUUAUUUAUAUGCAAAAAAAAUGGAAUGUUUUGUGCAUGGUUAAACCCUGACCAUGGUUUGUUUUUAACUCUGGUAAACAGUAUUGACAGUUAGCUAAAUAUGGAAAGCAAAUUAAUCUAGUGUCCAAGACAGAAAAAUAAAAAAGAAUGGUGUAAAUUUUAUGAGUAACAUUUUUCUUUUUUAUAUUACAUGUCUAUUUUCAAUUUCAUUUUUUGCUUUUUUUUUUUUAAAUUUUGUCUAACAUGAUAUCUGCCUGGUUCAGAAAUUAGAAGAAGGCAUUAUUUACAUGCAGAAAUAUUGAAUUUCUUUAAUUAAAUUUAACAAUGGAGCUUUCUUUUUUCAUCCUCGAUUUAUAAUUUAUUGUACCAAAUCCAAGAACUUCAAAAUGCUCUGUGAGUGAUAUCCGAGGUAAUAAAUUUAGCAUAGAUUUGCUUAACCAUAUGAGCAUUUUCGAUUCACCACCUACUCAUCCGAACAUGGUAGCUAUGCUUUGCUUAAAUGGCAAGUUUCAAGGAUCCCAGUCUCAGAUUUUCUUGUUAAUGCUCGCGUUGUAAUUUCCUUCAUAUUGGGAAUUUCAUGUGUUCAAGCACAAUGUGAUAGAUGGAUUGGCUUGGUAAUUUGGCGUUCAAGGCUUGUAUUUAUCCACCAUUUCAUUGCUAAUAUAGAUAAGAUUUUGCUCAACAAUGAGAGUCCAAUCCUAGAUAUGACUGUAAUUGUCUGGAAUGAAGGAUAAUGCUGCUAGUUUAGCACUUGGUUGGACUUACCUUGUGGGGGUGAGAAGAGUCGCGAGGUUCAAUCUGUAUAUCAUAAGUGCCUUGCCAUUCUUCUCAUAUUCGUUUAGGAAAUUACAAUCCAGCAAUUUUUGGCAUUUUCUAUGUUAGUCCUUGGGCAAAACAAGAUAUACAUGAAAGAUAGCGUUCAACUCAGGUGCAGUUUACUCGGUCACAGAUUAUAGGCUUUGCAUUUCACGAGAAGAGAUUUUCAUUAGGGAGUGGUAUCUUUACAACUUUUUAUGGUAUGAAAAACCAACUUAUACUCAAUCUGAGCUGUCUUCUUCUGUUUUCUACUGCUUGACAAAGUGAUUGAGCUUAUUGAGAAGAUAUUAUUUGCUGAUGAGAUCAGACACGUUGUUCUUCAGGCAAGUCCAGCAUGAAAGGAAUCGGAAAUUAAACCCCACAAAAAAAAGACGUUAGGAUGAUAAUUUGAUGUGAUGUUAGCCAUAAACAGGCACAAGGGAAAGCAGCUUUUAAUACUAAUCUUCAUCAACCAUGGUUUUCUUCCCAUCAAGGAAACUAUAGAGGUUGUGGGGGCAACUAGAAAGAGAUACAAGAGAGUGCAUAGUUGUUUUUUGAUGGAAUGGUUCAUUCGUUCACCAUUGAAGAUCUGAACAGUCACUCCACUUCCCUAACUUGAAAGACAAAACGCUGGUUACUUACAUCCAAUUCACAUAAUGUGUAUAGAAACAUAUAAUUUGGAACACGAGGCUAAAUAUUAAUGGAUUUUAAUGCAAAACCUUCAUGCAAAGGUGACAGUAGAUCUCUGUCAUGCAACUUGCGAGCUUAUUUUCAGAAUUUGGAAUUAUUAACGAGUGAAGAGAGCAGAUCUUCCUGUCCUGAUAAGCAAGUUUUUGCAGGAAAAAAAAAGUUUUUCCUUCUGUCUGAUAAAUCUUGUCGAGUUGGCCCACCAACAUUAUAAGUUUUUGCUCAUAUUUGGUUAGUUUGACAAGCAUGAACGCCUUGGAAUUUGCAGUUGACCAGUCCAAUUUUUAACCUCCAAGAAAAGGGUUUGCAGGCAUUGCCUACUGCUUGUUUUACAACAAAUUUCAUCAAAUUUUUAACCUCCAAGGCACGGUCCAUACAAGUCCUUAUAAUCAUUGAACAAAUAAUUUCCCACUUUCUUUCAACAAAUUUCAUCACCUGCUAGACAGUUAGAUAAGUGAAGAUACAAGUGCAUAACCAUAUAUCCAUCACUUUCCAUGAAAUUAUCAAGCAUUGACCACUUUGCAGUCCUGAAAAGAUUUUAGCCAUUGAGAAUGAUGCGUAAGAAAUUUAUAAGAUGUUUGGUCAAGAGCGGAUAUUUGAUAACCAGAUUUUAGGUAUAUAACUUGUUCAUACUUCAUAUAAGCCUCACUAUCAUUGAACAUGAGAAAAUCCAAAGGUGACAGUGACAAUUGUCCUCCUUGCACAGAGGAAGAAAACAAUAGCUUAUGACUCUGAAAAGAGCAGUUAUAUGAUAAUGAAGUUCACUUCUAAUGGUGACCCAGUUGAGCUCUUAGGCUCAUGCUUUCAAAAAAAUAUAGCCAUUUGCAACUUCUCACAUAUAUCGAAGCAAUACUGUAGAAAUUUUCUAGAUGUUCAUUUCCCUCAUUUCCUCAUCCUUCUAAAUGUAGACAUGAUAGUAAUUAAUCAGUAAUUCAAAACAAAUAAAACCAAUAAAUUGAUGACUAAUCAUGUCUAGUUUCUUCACCCUAGUCAUUUUCUACCUAAAACAAAACAUGGACAAUAAACUUAAAAAGAAAGUUGGAACUUCCAAAUCAAGUUAAUAAUACUCUGUAACAAAAGCAACAGCAAACUCAUUGCUACAAGCCAUUAUUAGAAAAUCAACCUUUAUAAAACGAACAUAACAAAUAAUGAUAAUAUUGAGUCUGAAACACAAGGAUGCCAUAAAACCUCACACAAGCUUCAAGCAAAAUAUCUUUGUAACUUACACAUGACAACAGAUAUGCUUUACAGCACUCAAGCAAGAAAUGAUCUUUACCAAGUUUGCUUGAACUUUAGUUGUGGCACAUGUUGUUUCUAGUAAGAAAUGAUCUUACCAUUUUCAUAUCCUUUCUGAACAUGUUAUUUCACCUACAUUCUGCAUAAUGGAUUGCAAUUGCAACUGCAUACCAAAUGAUCUUUCAUCUAUUUCGCCCUCAUCAUGAACUUUUUCUUUCACCUAUAGAAGUUCAAAUCUUAUUUCUAAUCAAAGCUGCACGGAGGUGCUUUUGAUUUGUCACUCAUUCUGAAAUGGAGUUCUAAGAACACUUGAAAGUGGGUUUUCGCUUCUUCUUUCCCCCCUUUCAGCUGGAAAUGAGCAGCAAGAUGGUUGCAUGUUAUGAAUGUAUGAUACAUCACCUUAGAUGCCUUUCCCACUUAUCUAGUCAUCUUAUCUCGCAUCUAAUCUAAAUUAUGAAUUUGAGAAGGUAUUAUUACAAGUUACGCAAAUGUUGGUCCAAAAUGUUGUCCAUCAUCAUGGUCUUCAAGAUAAUUUAAGACAGUAAUUUUUAUGAUCAGAACAGACUCUCCAAACAAAAAUUUCUAAAAUCAAGUGCUUAUACAAGUCUGGAAGUUGGACUCAAAUCCUUAUGUUGUUCUAGUAACUAACGAUUAGUCAGAGCCAGCGAAAACCACUAGAUGAAGGUUUUCACUGAUAUCCCUGACAACAUCCACAAAUUGAUGAAGCACACUCAAAACUGCAGUCUCUACUAGCCGAGACUUGUGUCUUUUGCAAUAAAAUAUCAGGUCAAUAACAACAAAACAUCUGAAUGAAUAUUGUGUAAUUAAAAUGACUAAAUUUAAUUAUGUUGUUUCACAUAAAAUAUAACAUAAAUCUAAUCCAUGGAAUCAAAACUUGGAGCAUACCAGCCUAAUUCGUUCAAGAUUUUCUUCAUUCUUUCUUCUUGUCCUUUUGAAUCCCCAAAUGCUGUUGUGAAAGGGUAGACAUAGGUUACUUUUGUGGCCAUAGUCCUAUACGCAACUACAUCUCCUCUUACCAAAAACUCAAGGACAUCCGGAUCAAACCCUCCAUCAACCUCAGCUUGUAAAUAUUUCCCUGAAAGGACCAAAGAAAUGACUCAUAGAAACUAAAAUUAGCAUCAAUCAAUGCAUGUAUUAUCACAAUCACAUCUAAAAUGCACAACGAAGUAUAUUAAAGUCCUAAACUUGUUUUUGUAUCUCUUGUGUCUUCUUCUUCUUCCAAAUAAUCCAUAGGUCAUAGUGUUCAGUGUCUUUCAGAAGUUGUUAGGUAUGGCUGCAUAUAUAUGGUGUAGACUGUAGAUUUACCAGUUUACAUAUUCAGUUUAGUCGAAAUACCAUUUGGGGUAUCUUCAAUGACUUGAAUCUUGGCAUUUCUCUGCGUUUUCAGGAUUGCUUCCUCUAACUUCUGCAAUAGUAAAUUGUAAACCAAAUUAGGGAUAAUUUAGCACAAUGGAAGAUAAGUAAACAUGUAUUUCAACUUUAAAACCUGAAUUGCAUUCUCUGUAUCAUUCUCAGGAAUCCUCCAUGGGAAUGAAAAUGAUGAAGAUUGCGGAUUCGUUGAAACACAACCUGGGUUUGUUGACGGGCAAGGCCUAAUUUUCCUGCAACAACAGAAAAUUGCACAGGGUCAAAAGUUUCGAUUCAAAACAACAAAGCCAUACAAACCAAACCACCCACAUUUAAUCCCAGAAAAGAACAAGUGGGAACAAAAAAGAACCCUUUGAAGAACACAUGAAUUCUGAUUAACAUACCCAUUUUCUAGCCCAAUCUGCAAGUUCUUGGACUGAGAAAAUGGGGUUGUAGGAGAGAGAAGGGGAGGCUGAGAGUUAAGAGAAGGGAUAGCCAAGGAAGGCAAUGGAGAAUUUAAGGUAACAGUGAGGGCUAAGGAGAAGAGAUUGGUGAAGAGAAUGGGUUUUGGAGUAACAUUUUGUGAAGUAAAGUUAGUGAUUUUGGAGGUUGAAAGAUGUGGAGGAAGAACAUGACCAAUCAAGCUCAUACUUGUUACGUUUGUUAUCCUUUCCUUUUUCCAGCAUUUCAUGCUGUCCUCUUGACACAAAAGACCAACAAACUAGGGAAAUUUUGCAUAUCAUAAUUGGAAUCUUAUAUAUUUUAACAUUCCCGCAACAUGAACAGCAAUCGUCGAUAUGUCCGAGUGGUUAAGGAGACAGACUUGAAAUCUGUUGGGCUUCGCCCGCGCAGGUUCGAACCCUGCUGUCGACGUUUUUCCAAUUUUCUUUCUGACAAAAUAGAAAGCAGAGAGAGAGAGAGAUGAUUUUUAUUUGUAUAGGGUUUUGUUCCAAAAACAUUUUAAUCUCUCAAACCCCAUGUUUGGUUUCUAAGAAAAAACGAUAGACAAAACGAAAAAAGAUCUCAUCUUUUUUUUCCUCGAACAAACGGAAAAUGGAAUAUAAUUCAAAUCCCAUUUCACCAGCAACACCACAACACUCAAAAACAACACAAGAACUAGCAAUAGAAGGCCAAAAACAUCUAGAAGAAACAAUCCAAGCUGGUUACCAAAUCCUUUCUUCUAUGAACGAUGAGCUUUGCAACCCCACUUUAUGGUCCACCACCUCCACUGCUACAACUGCUGUGACUUCACCCAUUACUUCUAAAAAUGCCCAAAACGGUGCCGUCGUCAUUACUGUCAAUGGUGAUGCUAAUGCUGCUGUAUCUGAUUCCACUCAUGAGUUGAGUGGUGGUGGUGGUGGUGUGGGUAAUGGAGCUCUUGAUGAAGCUCGGUUUCGGUAUAAGAAUUCGGUUGCUGCUCUUCGUGAUGUUCUUGCGGCAAUUCCUAAUUCUCACAAGGUUUAUUUUCUUAGAAACCCUAACCCUAGUUUUCUUUUUUUGGUGAUUUUCUUGCUUAGAUAGUGCUUGAUUAAAAGGGGCGUUUCUUUUCUAACAUUUGAAGGGUAUUUUUUUGUGUGUGUUUUGAUUAAAUGUUGCUCUAAUUAGUUGCAAAAUGUUAUUAUGAUGUAUUAAGAUAGAAUUUGGGGGAAUACUGGAUAGUAAUUGAUUAAAAAGGAACAGUUUUUACCUAAAAUUUUGAGACAUUUUUGUGUUUUGAUUGGAAUUUUGUUAUUUAGUCUCAAAUUGUCAAUCUGAUGUAUAUAAUAAGUUGGGAGUCAAGUGGAACUUGCUGUUAGAAAUGUUUAAGCUUCAAUACUUGAUAAGUUAGUGAUCUAGACUAUGAAUUUUUUGGGUUAACUGGAAAUGUUUAUGGCUUCAAAUUGGGAAAAAUUGUCUUUGUGAUUUGGUUAUCAAGCUAAUAGUGUGGUUCUUUCAUCUUCCAAAAUAGGCAAAACCUUUUGAAACGAGUUCUCCAGCAGAUGAAGCUGAGAUUAAGAAGUUGGAAGAGCGAGCCUCCAGCCUAAGAAAGGUAAUUUGCGGUGAAUUGUGAAGUCAUAUGGGGUAAUAGUUUUGUUGAGGUUAUGCAGUUACUAUUCUGUCUUAUAAUGGCUCCAAUAGUACAGCUGUAUGGCACUGGGCUGAUUCUUUGGAUUACUAAAAAACGCCAUUUAUCUCAUAUAGUUAUAAUGGUUUCUAAGCUUCUUUGAAGUUUUGUGUGCGUGUUUUCCCCCUAAUAUCUGCACGAAUUAGCUCUGAACUUGAAUUGUUUUCAUCACAGGAACUUGCAAAGAAGAACACAUAUGUCAAGCUACUCAUAGAUCAAUUACGAGAGAUCAUUACUGACAUAUCUACAUGGCAGACUCCUUGUUCUGUCUGAAGUUCGUUCAGAAAUCAUUAUUUUGAAAGGGGAUGCCUGAGAAUAAAGGACUGAGUCUUUGUGAGGUGAUGGUGUCUAUCUUGACAUUUUCUUUCUUUGCGACACUGAUAUACAUUAACUGUAGAUCUCUAGAGCUAGAUAGUAAGAAGGCGAUUCUGGGUUAGCAGAAAUUAGUAAAACCAAAGAGAUUUUGAACAAGAGAGCAUGGGUUGUAUAUCUUGACGGAAAUUUCUGGUACAAGCAACUUUGAUUGUUUUUUCAUACGCAAUGACAUUCCCUGUUUGAUCACUACAUGAAGUGAUUUCAGACAUUGUUACUUUUAAUUUGUAAUGUCUGAUUUUUGUUCGCUUUGAACCCCUUAGGAAAUUGUAGCUGCAUCUCAUGAAAUAAACAAUUUAAUUCCUCCACAUAGUGGCCUUACAAUAUAAAUAAAAUACUAUCCCCAACAUGUUUUAAAUCAGAUUACCAAGAAGUUAAUUUGAAGUUGCUUUUUUUGAAAGCACACUCUAGCUGUAAUGCUUUGUUAACAGAUGCAAGGGUCUCCUGUGCAUAUGCUUGUGGUAGCCUGCUCUCUCCUUACCCAAAGUUUUACCUUUUGGAGGUAAUUUAAUGUUAGGUUUCUUACCUAUUGUUUUACCCGUUGGAGGUCAUUUAAUGUUAGGUUUCUUACCUAUAGUUUUACCCUUUGGAGGUCAUUUACGUAAUCAGGUCAAACAUUGUAUCAAGGCAAGGUGACCUUCCUAGAAACUGGAGGGCAUAUACAGGUAAAUUUAAUUUCUCUGUAAAAGCCUGUUUAUUGCACUGUUUGAGCAAACACCUUACAAGUGUUUCAAGUUUCUUUGGCAGCGUCAUUGAUGGCAUAUUUAAAGAGAAAUCGUUGAUGGACCUUUUUAGCAGAAAAUGUUGAUUCUCUUAUAAGCAACUGAUGUUGAAGAACAUCCACAUGUCCUGCGUGUAGGACAGGAAGGCCGUGUAUUGUGGCCUUGCAAUCCUUUUUCUCGCAGAAAAUUUGAUUCGUCAUGUUUGCCUAUCCUUGUCUGCUAGCUACCGUCAGUACAGACCAAACAGAACGAGGUCCCUUCUGCAUUUAAAUGUGGGACUGAUCUUUGCAUCUGUAUUGAUAUUGAAUGCCAACCAAAUUUUGGGUAAAAAAUAAAGGAGGUCGUGUUUGGUUAAAGAUUGCGCUCAGACUGCAAGCUGAGCUGACAUUCAUCACGUAUAUUUAUUUUCCAUUUACUACUGCGCUUAUCCCAUGGUGAUGAUUCAUUCUAUAUGGAAGAAAAAAAGAAGGGUUUUCCCCUGUCUUUAAUGGGUUGUUGAGUUGAUGUGAUUUUUGGAAUAAAUUUAUGACAGUAUCUCCCUGCCGGAACUAAUGAAAGAAUGAAAGAAUGUCAUUUUGAGAGCUUAAUGAACACCACAAAUUGCGUGCUUCUGUAUCUGAAAUUUUUUUUCAUAGGCAAGUAUUACUGGAGGCGUGCUUAUUUAUGAACACAAGUAGCCUGUCUGGCCAUUCAUGACGAAUGACUCGAGGCUUGUGCUUCGCUAGACUGUUUGCUUCAAACGAUCCAAGGUAAACAAAAUCGUCCGGCAGGAGAACUUUCCUUCUGCUUUAUUGCACUCUACUUUCACCAAUUGAAUGACAAAUGAAGCUACACAGUUUUGAACAGAUAAAUAGAGGGAAACCCCCCAGAGGAUUAACAACUAAUUGUGAACUGAAGAUCUAGUAGUGAGCGAUGAUCUCAUAUCUACAAUGGCAGAUUCAUCUGCUCCUAAAUUGAUAGCCUCUUUGCUAGCUCUAAUGAACCUUGUAACAGAACCUUCAACAUAAUCUAGAGCUUCUUUUACGUUCAUUUUCUUGCUUAUCUCAUCUGGGAAGCUGCUCAAGAAGUGGUCACCGUUAAGAACAGCAGCUAGUUGAACUACCUCGCUCUGGAAUUCGGAUAAUGAACUAUCUUCUUUUGCUUCUGUUGUUCUCAGAGGUGCUACAUCUGGCAUGGUCACUGCAAUGAAUUUGGAAAGGAGAACUUAAAAAAGAAAACAAUCUAUCUCCACCCUAUGAUUUAUCAGUACACAAAAUUAUAGAAAUUAUCAAUCUAUCACUAAUGAAAUCUGAGUCAUUUAUGCCUAAUUGUGCAUUGAUAAGACUCUUACCUGGGCAGUCAGUUCUGGGAGAGGUUAACUCCCCAACAACUCCUUCAAAUGUGCCGGCCCAUGCAUCUCUGUGUGUCAAGAAGUUUGAGGAGAGGUUGAACAUUUUCUUUAUGGUUGCAGGAAUUGAAGAGUGCUCGAACUCUGAGCUUGGAGCAGGCCCAUUUGGGCUACUUAUCACUGAAAAAAUAAACAAAUAAUGAUAUCAACACAGCAGAAAAUGAAAGAGGGAGCGUGAAACAACAGAACAUAACGUCCAUGCUUCAAAAGUCAAAGUGUUCAAGAACAAAGUAGCUAAUGACAUUAGGUACCAGCCAAACUUCACAUGAAAGAUAAAAAAUUAAGCUUACCAGUGCCUUUCUUGAUCCAAGGAGAGACCAUAAUUGUCGGCACACGAACUCCAAGCCUGUCGAACUUGAAAAAAGAUGGGGCAGGGCCGGUGUUCCCAUCUGGGCUGGGAACAUUGACAUAAGGAGUCUCGACAUGGUCAUAAAACCCCCCAUGUUCAUCGUAUGUAAUGACCAAAAGGGUCUCAUUCCAUUGGGGACUAGCUCUCAAUGUCUCAUAAACCUCCUUAACCAAGUUUUGACCAUUAGCAACAUCAUGAGAUGGGUGAUCAUCAUUUGCAGGCAAUCCUUUAAGAUCAAAAUACCUUGGUUCAAUCACAGUUAAGCUUGGCAGCUUCCCAUCUCUAGCGUCUUUCUUGAACUUGAAAUCAAACAGAUGAAACUUAAAAAUAUACUUCAAUUUCCUCAUGUUCCUAAAGAACAAAGUUGUUGGAAUGUUUUGGAAGUAAAUUCCAAAGUCCUUACCGUUCUCAUGAAGUGAAUCAAAAAUUGUCUUCUGAGGAUAUCCUAUAGCCAAUUGCUUCUUAACAUGGCUUGUUGAGCCAUGAGAAGUAGCAGAAUACACAAACAGCCUAUUGGGUUGUGUUGGACCAGGGAUUGAAGAAAACCACCUAUCAAAGACUGCAAAUUCCCUUACAAGUGUGGCGUAAACUGGCACAGAUUCAGGCCUAAAGCCCUUCAUGACAGUUUCAGAGAGGUUUUGUGACACGGAGAGAGCUUGUUCAACAAAACCACUCAUUGAAGGAAAAGAGCUAUUGCCAAAUACCUGUUGCUCCACAUCUUCAAAAGAGUGUCCAGGAUCUGGAUCCACAAACUCAGCAUCAUCUGAGAAACAAAUGGAUUGUGGGCCUGGAUUCUUGGUCGAUACAGGAUUGCAUUCUGUUCCAGAGACACCAUUGAUUGCUGGAUUAAUAGAUUUCUUCAUCCAACCAAUCAUAUGAUCAAAAGAUCUGUUUUCCAUCACCAAAACCACAAUGGUCUUGAUGGGGCUUGGUUGUUGGGUCGUAGAAACACAUGAAAGUGUAAGAAACAGCAAGAAAAUGGAGGGAAAUGAAGGUGGCUUAGUUCUGAAUCUUCCCAUUCUUGUUUUUCUCUCUUGCCAGGAGAUAACCCUCUUGGAAAAAGUGGGUUUGCUUUAGCUUUGGCCUGUAAGCUUAUCUGCUUUCUUGUCUUUAUAAUCAAAUAAAAGAACUCAAACAGGAACCUCUAUUGUCUAUUGAUUGCCAGUGUGAAGUAAAUUAGAUUUGGUAUCUUAUACAGUUAUUGCUUGAGUGGAUAUUAUAGAGUCAGAAUGAGAUGGAGGAGUUUUCACUGUACUAGUUUUGGCCACAGAGAGAAUAAAGAAGCUUCUGUGUUUUUUUUUUUUUUUUGUGUUCUUCCUACGCUUUUGCUUUUUAUAAGGGAGGUGGUGGUGGAAAUAAAGGGAAAAUGACAUUUUGUGUGUUUAAUAUACUGAUCGCUUUCAUAAUUCUAGUUAGAUUUCAGUAAACAUGGUCAAAUCUACCCAGAUCUUUAGCAGAUUCAGUUUUCGGUGAUUUGAUUAUAUCUUGCUAGAUAAAUAAAUUAUUUACCCCCAUUCCCAACGUAGAAUUUCACAGUUUCAUGUGCUAAUUAAUAAGUGUGGAUGUUUUUAAAAUAUUUUUUUAAGUAAUAUAUAAAAAUAAUAUUUUCAAAAUUUUAUUUAUUUAUUUUUAGUAUCAUUAUAUCAAAAUAAUCAAAAUAAUAUAAACAAAUUAAUUUUAAAUAAAAGAUUAAAAUUGAAAGAAUGUCAACAUGAAGGUAUCUUUAAUUUAUUUGUUUUUUUCUGAGAGCACGUAGUUUUAUUUGUGCUGGGCCGCAUAAACUCCAGAAUUGACAGGUUGCAUAUUACCCCGUGACGGAAUUAGAGAAUGACAAAUAAAAUAUCAAAUAUAUUGCUUAAUUAGCUGCCACUCGAUAAAAAGUCUUCCAAAUCAUAUAUAUAUAUAUAUAUAUAUAUAUAUAUAUAUAUAUGCAAUAUGUUAUGUUAAAUAAUGAUAAUGUUACUUCACACGGUUUCUCUCCGUUGGAUAAAAAAAAAUUAACUUAAGAAAUAAUUUUAUAUUAAUUUUUUUUAUAAAAUAUUUAAGAAAGUUCAUGACAAGUGAAUUAAGUUUAAAGAUUUACUGUAAAAUAAUUUUUAUUAAUCAAUUCUUUUUAUAAAAUAUUUUACAAGAAAUAAAUAUAAAAAGAUUUAAAAAUUGUUUUUUUUAAGCGAAACAAACACACCAUAAGACAUUAUCGUUAAUGUAGGGGCACUAAUGAUAGAAGCUAAGCACGUGUUGCUAUUGCAUGUAAUCUUAUGCGUGGCAACUCUAGGGGCUUCCACUAGUGAGUGACACGUCAUGAAAUGGAAAAAGAAUUGAAGAAGACACAUGGAAGGGUAUGAAAGGUCAAAAACAUGAAGAUUAGUGCUUUGUCUGUUCCUGCCUGGAACAUCAAUUUUUAAGGACAAUUUACUCUCUCUCUCUUUCUCUCUCCGCUGAAUUAGCGCUCAAAUUCAAAUAUUUUAUAACUUCCUUCUACCAAACUAAUUCUAAUUAAUUUAUAAUACCAUUCUCAUGAUUGUUAGAUUUCAGGAAUAUGGGUCGAUCGAGUAUAUCAUAGUUGAUUUUUUACGGGUUUUUUUAAAUUAUUUUCAUUUAAAAAUAUUUUUUAUUUUAAAAAAAUAUUUUUAAUAUUAACAUAUUAUACCAAUCCAAAAAUUUUAAAAAUAAUUUUAAAAAAACUUUUAUUUAAAAAAAACCCAGAGUAUAACGCGUAAAUAAAUAAUAUAUAUUACUUCUUAUUUAUUUUUACAUUUUAAAAAAAAUUAAAUUUUUCCAUUCUUUGUAUUGUUUUUCUAAGUAGUUGUCAUUGUCAUGAUCUAUUUUUUAUUUAAUUUUAUUUUCAAGAUGAUAAUAUAAAUAAAAACGAGAAAAAAGAAGAAGCUCCGUGAGUGAAAUAAGAAGAAAAAAAGGAAAAGGGACUGGACCCGAGAGGUGACAGGAGCGUGCCUGGGUCCACAGGCGAUAGAGGAGCACUUGACCUCUGGGAUCAGGCGUGGGGCCUAAACCCACGGGUACUCAUAGAAAAUUGAAGAAUAUCUCCGUUCCUACUUUACCUAAUUUGAAGCACUUGAUCCUUAAAAUCUACUAUCCAUCUUUCCAAACUUGUUUUGAAGCUCUUGUGAAUAGUUUACUUUGGAUUUGUCGUCCAGCUCUAUUCCACACAGAAGGCAGGGAGGGGUUUCAACAAGGAUUUUAUCAAAGUUUUCUGCCAGAAACUAAAGCAGAGAGCAGAAAGAGAACAAUAUUGUUGCACGUUUUUUACUCAAACUAAUGCAGAGAGGCAAUAUGACAUUUUCCAGCUUUCUUUUUAUACAUCUAAGCACUGCUCGAUUACUUUUUCGCUUGAAAUCUAGUUGCGUUGCGGCAUCACAUUCCUCCUCUUAAUUGUAUUGUGGAUAUGUUUCCUGAUUGCGUUGCAAAGAUUCAGCUGCGAAAUUAGAGUUUGAUCUUUUUCAGCCAUUGUUGAUUUCUUUAAGAGUGUUUCUUCAUUGUAUGGUGCAAAAUGUGGUUUUGUGCAGCUUCAGCUACGAAACUGUUACAAAGCUACUACACUCAUUUACCUUGAGGACUUACUGCCAGGGCUGUUAUUGCCAACGAUUUAAAUGCGUCUUAGAGCCAGCAGGUUACAUGAAAAUGGAUUUUCCAAUUGAAUUCGUAGCUCAUAUUUCUCAUAUCAUAAUUAAGAACACCUGAACAGGAAGCACUGCAGAAAGAAACAAUUCCUGACGCUCACUUUUUCUCCUACUUUUUCCACCUUCUCUUUCCUUCCCACAAGGCAUGGUGUCUCAGGUACAUCACCAGACACUUGCAUGGAAAAGUCACAGUUCAGGCCCUUGCACAUCAGUCUCCAUUUAAAUGUUUCUUUAACAGUCUCUCAAUCUUCAUCUAAUUCAACAUAUCCCCUUAACCAUUCCAUGAGACUCUUUUUUAGUUGAUUUUGAUCUUUCUCGUCUUCAUUCAUCAAAUACACAUCACCUUCUUCUUUCUUGAGUAGGUAACUUACAUCAUUACUUCCACUUAUGAUGUCAAAUUUCUGCAUUACUUCUUUAACUCCUUCCAUAUUAGUCAAAAUAUCUCCAGCACCAUCAGAUGCUUCUUCUUGCUCGAGAUCAUUAGAGGAACUAUAUGCUAUCCUUUCAAGGAGAGACUUCUUCUUAGUACAAAACCUUCUCCACUCUCCUUUUCUUGUUCUUGUUCUGUAUUUUCUAUGUCACUCUCCGAAGUUCGUAACAGUUCUUUAAAUUCUGGCUCGGAUUCUUCUAUAUUUUCAGCACCGAGAAAUCCUUCUUCCUCAGAAUCAUCUUCCUUUGACUCCUUUCUUCUUCAAUAUCUCCACAGUAACCAGUCAAUGCCAGCUCCUCUCCUUCAAAAAUCUCCAACUCAGCCAACCCUUUAACCCCUCUAUCUUCUCCUUCCUCGGGUCCAUAAAGGUCACCAUAUUUCUUGGAAUAGUCUAUCUUUUUUCUUACUUGAAGAUUGGUUGUAUGAUGUUGAGUAGAAAGUGCCAGGCUUUUUACCAUAUAGCUGAUCACUGAAUUCUUGAGCAGAAUCAAUCUUUGGGCUUAUUCCUUCAAGAUUGUGUCUUUCAUGUUGACCAGAACGUGCCGCUAUCUUUACAGUAUCUUGGUUGUCUUUUCUGAUUGCAUUGUAAAGCUCAACUGUGAAGUUGGAGAGUGCUCCUCAUAAUCAUCUAUCUUUGACUCUUAUGUAUCUUCUUCUCUGUUGAUUAAUUCAUCAAUCUGAUCUAUAAUAUUCUUUGUGGUUUGAGCUUCAAGAUUGGAUGUUUGGGGAGAUUGCGUAAGAUCUGAUCUUUGCCAGCCAUUGUUGAUACCUUCUUUGGGCUUCCUUCAAGAUUGUGAGAGAGAGAGAGAGAGAGAGAAUUUGUGUGAUGAGAAGAGUUUUUGAGGAAGUGGCGCCAAAAUGUGGGUUUUUAAAGAAACGGUUAUUCUGUUAUGGAUAGUUGAUUGUUUCACAAGCGGGUGAUAUAUAAAUAUAUUUCGUUGGGUGAAAGCAAUAGUAGGAGAGAAUAAAAUGCUUUAUUUAUUUAUUUAUUUAUACACAGAAGUGGCAGUGAUACAGGCGAAGGUACACAAAAAUCUCCAUGAAAGAAUGUGAUUUUCUUGUAUACUUGUAUUAUUCUACAAAAAAAUCAAUCAAAGGAAAAUCCCGUUGCAAUCAAUGCCUGUUUGGCCUUUUAGAUCAGAAGAUGUUAAAGAUUGAAUGAGCUCGUAACUUUUAGAAGCAUCAGUAACCAGACCUCUUCAGGUAUGCUAAUACGCCUACCCCAGCAACUAGAGCAGCGCCUGCGGCAAGAGUACUGUAUGCAGAUGCCCGUGCAUCUGCUUCACCAUAAUCGAAACCUUCUGAACGAGAACCCUUCCUUCCACCUUUUCCUGAGCAAUCUAAGUGCAACCUCAGACUCUGCAGAGUUCAUCAAAGAAAUUAAGAAUGCCGAGCUUAACAUAUCCUUUCAGAAAUAAAAAUUGCUGAAACGCAUCAUGAUUCCUGAGGGCUGUUUCCAUUAUAGUUAGGGUUUCUGUUUUAUAUUGGUAACAAACAGAACAACACCUUUAAAGCAAACAUUCAAGGCUCUUUCUAAAAAAAAUUCCAAAAUCUGGGAAAGAUCAAGGCUUCUAAAAGAGAUAAAAGCAAACAUUCAAUUUACACAUGCAAAUCAAAAUCAGGAUAAACCAUUCUUAAUUACAAGGAUAAAAGGGAAUGGAAUGUGGUUUUACUAGCACUUCAUAAAAUUUUAUAUUUUUACCUAAAACAAAAGGAAACUUACCUUUCAUAGGAUUAAAAAGGGGCAAACUUAUUCUUAUUGUAGGUUAGGAAUACAUUUAAGUUAUCAAAUAGGUUGUGUUUGGUAUGAAAGGAAGGCAGAUGAAAAGUUACCCUUGUAAUUUUUCACCCCCCUUCCCCCUUGUUUGGUACGCAAAAUUUGGAAGGGUAAGGGUUACCUUUCAAGUUGGGAAGUAAAAAAACCGUUUAAGGAGGAAAACUUUUGGUUUUUCUGCUUCCCCUCUGAUUUUUUUAAUUUAGCAUCAAAAGUUUCCCUAUUUAUCUUAAUGCAGCAUUCAGGACCCAUCAAUUUAUGUAUAUUUAUUUUUCUAAUAUAAUUUAAUUCAAGGUAUAACACUCAUACCAAACACAUACCAAACUCCUUUAACAUUUCACUCAUCAACAAAUUUUUUACAUCCUUAACGCUUCACUCUUAAAUCUUACCCCCUUAACAUUUUCCCUUCAAAUUUUUAAUUCCAUACCAAAUUUAACCUAAGAAGAAAAGAAAUUAAUGAAGGCAGCCUAGUAGCUGUGUGGGGAGAGAGUGUGUGCAUCCACUGGCCCAAAAAAUCCCUUCCUCUUUUUCAUCUAGGAUCCAAUAUAAGCAUGUCCAAAAUAAUAUAAUAUUCUACCGCAAGGUGAGUAGGUGACUGCUGCAUUUGGUUUUUUAAGUGUUAUUCAGGUUGCGCCUUUUUUUUUUUGAUACGUAACAACGUUUGUAUAGAACUUAGAUUGGAAAAUAGUGACUUCAUAGAGCCUUUCAUGUCAAGAGGAUGAUCCACAGAGAACUAAUCUCACAGUUUAUAGAUAGCAGUGUCACUGCCACCAAUAGCCCAUUCUCCAGGUAAUUUUGUCCCUUAAUUUAACUAAUUUAUCCCACUUUUCUAUAGAAAAACAUCAAUGACAAGCAGACAUUUGAAAAUACCUUCAAACCAGCUGAUCUGGCAUGCUCUACAGCUGUGAUGAGAUCACUAUCUGAUGCCAGAACAACUUUGUCAUGGUCUUCAUCUUCAUACUUUGGAAUGCAACUUCAAGUUAGUAUGAAAUCAAGAGAAGGAAAAUAACUAAUUCAGGCUAUUGACCAUAGUAUGAAGUCCAUAAAACAUACCAGAAUUUGAGGUAAGUUGUUACAGUUAAUGUCAUCCCCUAGCCUCUGAAGGAUUGAAGUUAUUAUAUCAGUCAGAUUCCGGGUCUCUACCUCAAAAGAAAGCCAUAAACAAAGUCAGCUACCUUUUAUAUGUGAACUGUAUUUUCGUUAAGUGAGCCCAGCAUUUCACAGCAUUCAGCCAUUCACGUCUCCUAUGCCAAAGAAGCCUAACUUCACGAGAAUAACAAAUAUAUGUUUGUACUCUCUAAAGCAAGUCACCUGGCAGUAACUUGCAAUGAAAUGCAAAUUCUAUAAGCUACAUGCAUGCCUGAUGCAGUGGGGAAAACCAAAUCCAUGACCAUCUUAAAAAGCCUAGUAUAAAAAGCAAAACAAAUAUCCUACCACAAGUAAAUCUGUGCAUUCGCCCCCUUUUGUCUUCAAUUUUAAAAGAAAAUACAUUUGGAUACACUGAUGAUGGAUAGAGAAGCGAUCUCCCACCCUCUGUUCCUUCGGAAGCCAAUUUCAAGGAACCUUCACUGGCAUGUCAUCAACUACAUGUAAGUAAACCAAAUAGAUGAAAUCGAAAUGCUAGCAUAAUAUUAACACCAAAACAUCUAACCUCCGCGCCUCCUCAUCGUCACCAUUAGGACUCAAAGCCAUGGCAGAGUCCCAAAACUUCUGCAUCAUUGUGUUUGCAGUCUCAUUAUUUGCUGCAGCAGCGCUCCCGACCUGAUUAAUGAAGGGCACAUGAAUGCUUUUGUUCUUCUCAGAAAUAACCAUAGCAUCAUAUAUUCUCCUCAAGACCAACCAACAAUAUAAAUUUACACUUUAUGGGGAAAAUAAAAUACCACAUGCAUGCCACCUAAUUAUUUAAACACAACAUACAUCGAAUACAAGCUGGAAACGGAUAUAUAAGGAAUUUUUAAGAAUACUUGUUUUUUUAAAUCUAACAUAUUAUAGCUAUUACUCGUCUAUUGUCCUGCACUCCACCAUGGGUUGGAUAAAAAAAAAUCAGCCAAAAAAAAGUGUAGCCAUUAGCAACAUAUUUUAUGCAGCAGCAAGAAAAUUUUUUAUUGUGAACCAAGAUUUUUUUUUAUUGUGAGUCAAAAUCAUCGUGAAGAGCUGCAAAAACAAUCACCCACUAAUGUUAUAAAAAAUAAUGUUGUAAAAUUUCAUGGAAAAAAAAAUCAAACAAUAUUUAAUCAAACAACAAACAAAAAAAAAUAUAACGAUCAAAUAAAAUCUAAAAAUAUCAUAAACGAAGGUAAAAAAAAAAACACUCAGUAAUAUCAUUAAAAAUAAACUAUGAUUUCAUAAAAAAAAAUGGAAUUUCAAUGGUAUCCAAUAAAAAAACUUCAAAUCAUUUUUUAUGAAUCUAUUUAAAUGGGAAUAAAGAUUAAAAUUUAGGGGCAAAACAUAGGUCAUGCACGUGUGGGCCUGCGCGCCCAACCCAUUCAAAAGAGGCUUGGUCCACGAGUCAGGCCUCUUAUUUUUUUAUAUUAAAGGGUUAAUUAAAAAAACAACGUAGAAGACGCGUCGCUACUAAUCUAGAAACCAACGAUUGGGGGGUCAAUGAAAAGUCGGGCCAUGAGUAUUUUAUGCUCAGAAAUUCAUUUUUCAACUUAUUUUUUUACCCAAAUCACCUAGAAAACACCCUAAAGACCUUGAUAAAGCCAUGCAUGACCUCAAAUAAACCAAAAACUAGUCAAAAAAACAUAAAAAUCUCAAAAUCAACCCAAAUUAAAAGAUUUCCUAAGGUCAGAUCUACCAUUUCAAGUAAGGGAAAUGACAAAUAACAAUUAGGUGAAACUCCCCUCAUCAAAUAUAACUCAUUAACACAAAGAUUAAUCUUAUUCGUUGUCGGAAUCGGUAUCAACCACGACUUUCUCACUCUUCAAUUGAAAUCUGGCGACUCUAUCUCUUUUCUCUCAAAACAAAGACUAAAAAAUAAAAAUAAAAAAUAAAGUUUUGAAGCAAAAUUGAAUUUUCAAAAACUAAAAGGAUAGAAAGUUCAGAAAUUGGAACACAGGACCAAACUAAACUUUUAAUACAAACUUUUAAAUUGCCACUUAUUUUCCCUUUGUCUUUCAAUCUUACCCUUUUUUAACAAAUCAGAAGCAAUCAGCCAUUAAUUUGGCCACAAAAAGAUUCAAUCGAGGAUAAAAAAAUCCUGAUGAUCAAAACAAAAAAGAAAAUUCACUGCAGCAAUCCAUAGUAAAUUGUGAGAGGGGCUAUAGUAGCGUGAUGUAUAGUAAAAACACUGUGUCGUUUAGUGUUUUUUAAUCCAAAGAAAUCAGAACUCGUUCCAGGUCAAUAAAACUUGCAAAGGGAACAUUGUAAAGCACUACAUAGUCCAAGAAAGAAACAGACUUGGCUUACUGUGGCCACUGCAGCGUGAGUGAUAUGAAUUACAUCAAUGACAGCAACUAUGUUCCCAUCUGCAUCCAACCAUCCAAGGUCAUCAGAAACCAAAAUGACUGGCUAAAAAGCAUUUCACACUUUAUCUACGAGGAUGGCACCUCUGUCUAGCACAGGAAGGUGCAAAAAUUUCCCAUCAUGCAUGGUGUGCAGAGCAUCAACAAUUGGUGUAUCAAUCGUUGCACAUUCUGGAUUGGGAGUCAUGACCUGUAGAAAAAUUCAAAGAUGGCUGACGUAACCACUUUCUUCCAUUUAUCAGAGAGAAAUAUUCUUCUAUGUUAAGGGUCCAAGUCUAAGUUUUGCUAGUCACUGCUUCAUUUAAAAUAUGCUAAAUAGGUAAUAUCUUUCCUAAAUUCUCACUAUGAGAUCAACUUGAAAACAUAAUUGGAUAAUGGCUUUCUUAGAGGGUAGAUAUACACAUUCUCCAUGGUGUUAGCAGAUUCUAUAUCAUUGCAAAUAGGAGGAUACAGGACAUGUACAAUUUUCUUUUGAUGAAAUCCCUCAAAAGCAUGCUACGCUGUCUGAAGGAGAAAGAUACCUUCUCCACAAGAGUUGAAUUUGGAGAAAGAUUUUGUGUUAUUACUCGCAUCAGGAUAUCCUUUGAACUGAGAAUAAAAAAAAAGGUGUAUCAAUAAUAACAGCAUAACAAAAACUUCCUGCUAUAAGAUUUAGAUGCAAACGCAGAUAACCAAUGCAGUUUUAACUCUAUUCACUUGCUUGUUAGAUGCAAUUUAAAAAUAAACUCACGUAAAAAUUCCUCGGGGUUUUCCAUCGACUGUCACUACUGCACAGCUUGAUGAAGAUUCGAGCAUCGUCUUUGUAACUUCCAAAACAGUCUCUGUCGGUGAUACAGUUACAAUCCUGAAAGAUGCAACAACAUAUCAAAUUAAACAACUUGCAGUCCGUUUUGUCCACAAAUCCUCUAAGCAAACAGUGGUAGAAGUAGAAUAUCCAAGAUAAACACUCAAGAAGACAAAUUAUUACCUACUUUGAAUUCUCUGGAAUUAUCGUAGAUAUAGCAGGCCUAAAGAUCCGCUCUCGAAGUGUCUCAAUGAACGUAUUGGUUCCUGUGUGUGAACCAAAAAAAUAAAAAUAAAAAUAAAAAUAAAACAAAAGAAUGAAGAAAAGUAAGGAAUUAAUUCUACACUGCAUUAUGUAGUAACAAAGUAGCCGGAAGGACAAGGAGUCACAAAGGUUAUUCAAAAGAACACUUUCCACUGACCAGAUAUGGAUGUCCCCCAAUUUUUUUCAACACCUUCAACAGCUGCAGCAAUGGCUUUUCCUUUUUCUGCUGCCCUUUCCAUACGAGCUAUGGCAUCAUAUAAACACUUUGCUAUAUCCAGUAAGGCAAUAACCUCUCCAUUCUCAACAACAGGUAAAUGUCUGAAUUUUCCUGUUGAUUAUUAAUAUCAGGACCAUAUCCAAAUGGUGAGAUGUAACAGGGUUGCAGGGUUGACAUGCAUCUCAAUAAACAAACCUUGAACCAUCUUCUGGAGAGCUUCCACGGCAAGAGUUUCAGAAAGAACGAAAACAGGGUUCCUGGUCAUAACUUUAGAAACGGGUGUUUCCUCAAGAUUAAGCUCACAAGCAAUUACUCUUGAAACUAAAUCCUACAGAAAGAGGAAAUAAGACAAAAAUAGGUCCACAUUAUGUUAAAGGCAGCAAGAGGAAAAUUCCUUCCACUAGUUUCUUUUGUCCUGACAACAUAAAAUUUUAGUCAUACCUUAUCUGUAAGGAUUCCACAAAGUAACGAAUUAGAGUCAGUUAGCAAUAAGGCAUCAACUCUAUGAGCAGCCAUCCGACAGCAAGCUUGAUAAAUGCUUGUGCUUUCUGGUACUGUCAGGGCCUUUGACAGACGCAAACGUUUUACUGUGCGCUCUCCAGUUAGUCCCCUGUUUCAGAUGCAGUUAUAAAUGGAAGGUUACAUUAAUGGUGAUGUAACAAUCAUUGUUGCCGGACCCUCCGGUGAAUAUAGAUAUUUGUCAUGUGAGCAGCAUGCCAAUCUAUCUAUCUACAUAAUCUGAUAUCACUAUUAUGUCUCCUAAAAUGCAUCCAGUGAUGAAGUAGCCCGAGAGACUGAUUACCUAAACAUGAGGCCAAAGCCACGCCCAGAGUUUCGUGAUUUACUAAGCUCAAGCAUCUCAUUACUGUAUUCGGGAGAAGUGGGAGAAGCAUGAAUAAUAAUGAUAGGAUAUAAAAGAAUUCCUCAUGAUCACAUUCUGCAACUCAAUCAAUCUAUUCACUGUCAUUGAUUCACAAAUUUUCUUCUUCCUUUUUAUUUGCUGAGAAAGGAAUAGAUCCAUUACCAAACACGGCAACAAGAACGAACCUAAAAUCCAAAUUCAUCCUACUAGGACUCUCCUCUCCACCCUCAAACACAGAUUGUUUUCCUCGUUAACCAAACUAAUAUUCAUUGAAUCAUUUCAAUAGCUCACAAUUGCAAGCAACAGCCACAAUACAAUUCAAAGCUCUUCUCUUCGUAUCCCACAAUUUAUUACGGCCAAGUAAUCUCUACAAAAAUUACAUGUAAAAACCGAUAUUUAAAAUACUCCAAACUCAUUGAUUUUUUCCUUCAUUGCUCUAAUUAUUAAAUUAAGAAAUAGAAAUAAAAGUGGUUUUCAGAAUCAAACAUAUAAAUAAAUAAAAACAAAAACUCAGAGCGAACAUACAUAGAGCGGGAAGAGGUGAGAGAUCUCCUAGAACCAUCAAGACCUCCUCCUCCAUUCUCAUUAGCCUUUUUUCUUCCCUGGAACGACGAAUACGACAUACUUUUCCUCGACGAACUUCCUUGACUUGCCAUCUUCACCGCCAAUAAUAACAGUAUUCAGAAUCAAAAUCCGGAUAUAUUUUGAUAAUUCAGGGAAUAAUCACGAUAAGAGGAAAUUAGUUUUCUUUUUUAAUAUUUUCCGGUAAAGUUCUCGCGAUGUCGGGAUUUCCCGGGAAAAAUGGACCGGCGAGGCGAGGGAAAAGGAAUGCCUUAAGAAUUGGAAAUGGAGAGAGAAUUGCUAGAGAAUGGGGAGGAAGGCCAACGAUAAUUUUGCACGUUACUGAAUUGGCCCCAUUUUUUUUUAGGAUCUUACCUUUUCUUUGCUUUAAAGGGGUAAGGUAAGAUUUUAUUUUAGUUUGGGUAAAACUUGUAAAUUUCCUUUCAUACCUCCUAAAAAGAAAUAAACAAUGUCAAAUUGAUUGUUUGGUACGAUGAUUCGUCUUUUUUUUUUUUAAAUCAUUUUUAUAUAUUAAAAUUAAAAAUAAAUUUAAAAAUAAAACUUAGUAUUUAAUUUAAAUUAUAUCAUCAUUUUAAUAUUUAAAAAUAAACAUAAAAUCUUGAAAUUUUAUUUUAUGUCAAAAUAAGUAUUAAGCAAUCAUCGAGUCUAUUUUAAAUCAAAUAUUUAUAUUUAUAUUUGUUUUUUAUUUAUUAAAAUCUCUUUUUACAUUUAUUUACUUAUAUAAUCGUUAAAUUAUAUUUUAUAGGACAUAUAAAUUAAAUUUUAAAUGCAUAAUUAAAAAACUUUUCACUUCUACAAAAGCAUAUUGACAAAGUUAAGACACUAAUAAAAAUUUCUUGAUGGCAACAUAAUGCUAUCAACUAAUCUAGUUGACAACUAUAAUGAUAUUAUGUGUAAAAUAUAUAUUAGAUAAAGAGUUAAUUUGUUUACACUUCUAUUUUUAUUAGAUGAUACAAUAUUCUACAAUACAAAACAUAAAAAUAAAAGCAUGAUUCUUUAAAAUUAAAAAUAAAGACAAAAUAAUUUUAAGAGNNNNNNNNNNNNNNNNNNNNNNNNNNNNNNNNNNNNNNNNNNNNNNNNNNNNNNNNNNNNNNNNNNNNNNNNNNNNNNNNNNNNNNNNNNNNNNNNNNNNNNNNNNNNNNNNNNNNNNNNNNAAGUAUAUAUAAGCUGGUUUAAUGUCUACUAUUAUAUAUUAAAAAAAAAAGACAAAAUCCCUCCACCAAAGGUCAUUGAAAAAUGAAUCAGUAGUGAUUGGUUGACAACAUAUUUGUUAAUUAACAGCAUAGUUGUUGGAUUUAGUUUGGUUUAGGGUUUGGAUUCUUCUAUGAAUCCAGAUCUAUUUUUUUAUUUUUAAAAAAAAAAACUUUGUUUUGACUCGGUCUAAUUUAUAUUAGAAUUUGUCAAAUCACGGAUCAAACUACCUCAUCGCUCAUAUUUAUAUGGAAGACUGUAAAAAAAUAUCUGAAAUAAAACCGAAUGCACGGUAAAAAAAAAUACUCUCCUUCUCAGUUGAUUCAUAUUUUCAUUGAGAUGGAUUAAUUAUAAAAAAAUUAUUUAUUUUUAUCAAUACCCAUGAUUGCAUUAAAAAAAAUUAACUUAUGCAACCCCAGCACACCAGAUCCGAGCAUAUGCAGCUGCAUUAGUUAUGUUUGGUCGUGCCGCCGUGAUUGAUGAUGGUUUUUCAUGUCGGAGAGAGACUGUUUUGAGUUCGUUUGUUUAUGCAGGUGCUAUUGGCCACUACAGUGUUUCAGGUGGUUUCGAUGGCGCGGCGCGGUGGUGGAGAAUUUGGUGGAUGGAGGUAAAAGAAACGGGGAGAGAGAGAGAGAGAGACUGCUUAAUGUCAUUUAUAAGUGGAGGGACGAGAGUGGCUGUCCUGAUCAUUUCUUUUCCGAUGACCGCUUUUUGUUUUUAUUUUUUUUUUAGUUUAACGUGGGUGUCCGGGUCAGCUUGAGCGCACCUCGACUAAUCCCACGGGCCCUGAAGUUAACGACCAUGUAAGCCUCCAGUGGCCAUCAUAUGAGCAACCACAGGGCUCGAACCUGAGACUAUAGAGGAAGCAAACCUCUUGAUCCCAAACUCUUACCAUUAUGCCACAACCUAGAUGGUUCUAGAUGGUUGGAGCUGCAGUGGUGGCUGUGACUGUAAAAUUAAUCCCCAUUGAGCGCGUGAAAUGCAACAUUGAUGACCCACACGUCACCAUUUUAUUUAUGACGUGUCAGCCCUCCUGCUCAUUUUGCAAUCCUUGUUCACUGACAACUUGUUUUCAACUAAUCCUUUCUCGUAAACACAAUUAUUGAACCUUAACCCGGAUGGAUUGACCUGAAAAAUUCAUGAUUUCAGCCAUAUUCAACAUCGGCUUUAUGUUACUAGUUAACUUGAUCGUGACUUAAUUAACCUAAUUAAAUAUGAUUAAGUUAACUUUAAGAAUAAAAAUAAUAAUAAUAUUAUUGGUAAGUUGAUUUAAUAAUCUAAUGAUUCAGGUCUUUUAUGAAUAAGUUUUCAGACAAUUAUAUUUCAAGUAAGUAAAAAAAAACUAACCAAAAUCAAAGCGCCAAAAGACAACCGAGCUUAGCUUAAUUAACUCACAGCGCACGCGAGACAACUCAGCAAAGUGUUUUUUAGGAUCUAUCACAGUUUGGAUAACACACCUAUGUUGAGAUUAGCAUGGUGUUAAUUAAAUUCAGGAAAAUGGUGCUAUAUUGGGUUGGUUUUUAUCGGAGGUAAUAUAGUUUUUUUUUUCAUAGAGUAUAUUGGUUAUUAUUUAACUAAUAGGAGAUAAAUUAUGUAUUUGAUCCUUAUUUUUUUAAUUUUAAUUUUUGUUUUGAAUUUUUUUUGUGAAUUUAAUUUUUCUUUUUAAUUUUUUCAUUUAAUUCAAAAUUCUAAUUUUUCAUCUUAUUGAUUUUUUAUAUAAAAUUUGAUUCUCUUUCUCAUCAUUGCUAUUUCUUUUUGUUUUUUAUUCUUUUGUAUAAUUAAAUUUUUCCUUUCAAUCCUUUUGUAUCCUUUUGUAUAGGUGUUUUAGUUUUUUGGACCUCUUUUCGUUAACUAAUAUUUAUUUUUUUCGAUGUUGUUUGGAAUUGCAUUCCAAACAGAGUUUUAUUAAAAAUUUUAAAAAAAUUACUUAAAAUUAUUUUUUUAUGUUUGUCAUAUCGUUUUGAUGUGUUGAUAUCAAAAAAUAAAAUAAAAAUUAUUUGAAUGCAUUUUUGAGCAAAAAACACUUUGAAAAGCAACAUUUACCACACUCUCAAACACCACUUUAACAUGUUAAACUUAACUUACUAGUCCCAUAACGUUUGCUCGACCUCACAAUAUAAUUUAUUAUAUUGAUUUAUCUUAGAAUUCAACUAUGUGUUUUUUCCCUUUUUGACAAGCAUUUCUUUUUUUCUAAUUAUGGUUACCAUCUUUGUUUUUUAAAAAUCAAUUCAUUUAUUAUCAAUGUUUUUCUAUUAUAAAUAAUUAUAAAUAUAAUUUUAUUUUAUUCUUUAAAACACGCCAGCAAACAUUAAAAAAAAUUAAUCCCGGCUAUUGAGAAACACUGGCCACCAAUUUAGUGGCCAACUCAAUACCAUCGACGCCUAUCCAAAUUAUGAUUUGGAAUUUACAGAAUGUUUUGCUCGACACGUAAUACACGCACAAAUAGUACUAUUAAACAAUAGCAAUCCAUUGGCUAAACUGCUCUGCACUAAUCUCAGAACCAAUUUGUUUCUGGUCAUCACUUUAUUUUUACAGAAUUAAUUGUUUGAUUGUCUAUUUUCUUGAUCAUUAGAACACAACAAUUUAUUGAUAAAGCCACCGACGAGGACCAUUCUAAAGGAGAAUAUGCCUAACCCCAGCAAGGAGAUAUCAUCCAUCUCAGGUCGUGGAUGAUGCACUGAACUCUCCCCUUUAAAGAAGAAGGAAAAACAUAUAAAGGAUUCUUUGCGUGGGAAUCUUCUUCUCUUCGAACCUCACCGUAUGGCAGUGGAAUAUAACAUCUAUAAAGGGUCUUGCAGUGCUGCAGUACCGAAACCAAGAAGAAAAUUCUUGUCUGCAUUUCUUCUAUUGAUCUUGAAGGAGGAGGUCUUUGAGAGAAAGAAUCCAACAAUGGCAGACUGGGCACCUAUAUUGCUGGGUUUUGUGCUCUUCAUUCUGCUCUCUCCUGGCCUGUUAUUCCAAGUACCCGGGACCACACGAAACCUGGAGUUCAGCAGCUUCACAACCAACGGAAAGGCCAUUGUUGUCCACACCCUCAUAUUCUUCGUUGUCUUUACCAUCCUCAUUUUAGCACUGGGCAUUCGCAUUUACACUGGUUAAUAUGCUACAAGCAAAAUCAUCAUCUACAGGAUCAGUUGGAAGUAAGAUUUGUCUUUAGAUUCUUUUUGUGUUCUUAUAAUUGUUGCAUUUUUUUUUUAUUUUUUGUUUAUUUUUGAUAUCUCCAUGUACAUGGCAAAUUGAUUUAGGUAAUUUGAUUUUUGAUAUCUCCAUGUACAUGGCAAAUUGAUUUACCUGAAACUUUGUGAGUUCUCUAAGGAAUUGUCAACACUAAUUCUAUUUCUUACUGCUUAGAUGAUGACUAGAUUGUUGGUUAGAUUCUUAUUUUUUAAAUCUAAAAAAGAAAUAUAUAAUAUUUUUCUAGUAAAAAAAAUAAUUAUAUGGGAUUAGAUCUGAUGUGACCCGAUCAACUUUCUGGAUCCAAAAACAAUUCAAAUGACCAGUAAAAACAUAAUUCGAUUAAGAAAAUUCAAAAUAACAUACUUUUCUUUUCAAAUAUUGAGGGGACAAUAUAUUGAAUUAACUUAGAUCAACCCAAGUUAACCUGUCAAGUUUGCGACCACUCGAGUAAUGAGACUAUGGUAAACUCAUAUAAAGAAAAUUAAACAAAUUAUAAAGUCUAAUUUCCAAUCAACCUAAUGUUUAAAGAUAAAAUUAAAAAGAAAUCAAUUAAAAAAACAAAAAAAAAUAACUUGGGUCAUGAGAUUAAGAUAACUAUGUAGAAAGUAAAUUGAAAUAAAUUAUAAAGCCUAGUUCCAGAUCAACUCAAUAUUGAAUGAUGGAAUUAAAAAAAAUCAAUUAAAAAAGAGAACAUAAAAGAAUGACUAAGGUUAAUUCAGAUUAAUUUGUCAAACCCAUGAACAGGAGAUUGAUAUAACCUCAUAAAAAGUAAAUUGAAAAAUAACUCAAGCGGGUUAACCCGCCAAACAGGCGACUUGGGUUAUGAGACCAUGAUAACUAAAAAAAUAAAAAAAUAUAAAGGUUUAUUUUCUAAUAAAUCUAUUUUUAAAUGAUGAAAUUGAAAAAAAAAAAAUCCAAUAUAGAAAUGAACAUAUUAAAAAAAACUCAAGUUUACUUAGAUAACUUGCAAACCCCGUAACCUAGGACAUGAUACCGAAAUAACUUCUUAGAAAAAAAAAUCAAAACCAAUCAUAAAAUUUUAUUCCCAAUUAAACCAAUUUUGAAUUAUAAAAUUGGAAAAAAUGCCAAUAAAAAAAGAGAAAAAAAAACUACAGUCAAUCAAGUUAAUUCGUCAAACACGCGACACGAGUCAUGAGAUUGAAAUAACCACAUGGAAGGUAAACCACAACAAACCAUAAAGCUUUAUUUUCAAUAAUCAAAUGUUGAAUAAUAGAAUUAAAAAAAAAUAAGCAUAGAUUUGAAAAAAAAUACAAAGAAAAACUAUAUUGCGAUGAAUAGUAUUUUGUAAGGUGGUUCAUAGUAAAAAAACUACCUCUUUCAGUUUAAUUUUUUUAGCAUAUCAAAACAAUUAGAAAACAUUAAAAAAUAUUAAGCAAAAAAAAAAAUUCAUGCCUUAAUGCCAAGUUUAAACUAUGUGUAAACAUUACCUCUACUUAACAAAAAAAAAAAAAAAACUCCAAAUAUAAAUUGAAGAUCGCUCAAAGUCCCAAUUUGUCAGACAUAUAUAAAAAUUAAUAAAAAAUAUUUUUUUAAUAUUUUAAAAUAUUUCAUUUAUAAUUUUACUCAAAACCUCUAUUCAUUUUAAACCGAACCCAUAGAAGGAGUUCUUUUCUAUGUAACCCUAAAGAACAUUUGAUAUAUUUACUUAUCAACACCACAUUUAAUGUAAUUAACAUUAUAUUUUUAUUCCUAGUUUAACUUACGUUCUUAUUGUAUGAACAAUCAUUUAAUUUAAUUGAAAUAAGAUUUUGGGCUGGUUAUGCGUUUUUUUAAUAAUCGAAGCCUGUGCGGUGGAUUUCAUUGAAACUUAAGACUACAAAUACAAUAUAUAUCACACUUAUUUCAACAAGCACCAGUGGUCUAGUGGUAGAAUAGUACCCUGCCACGGUACAGACCCGGGUUCGAUUCCCGGCUGGUGCAUUCACAAGCUGUGAGGAAGUCUGUGCUCAUUGUGAUGAUAGGGUCUAUCACUACCGUCUGAUCUCCAUCCGACGACAAAGAGUGCAUCUGAGCUUGUUUUAUUUCUCACUUUUUUUGAGCCCUUAUUAUAUGAACAAGGAGAUGCAAAACAAUAUGAACUAUAUUUAUAUAACCUUUAUUAUAUUAUACUUAAUUAACCUAAGUACAUCUAAGAUUUAUUUUAUAUUAUUUUAAUAAAUUUUUAAAAAAUAAAAUAUUAAUAAGAUAUUUUCUAACUUAUUUUUCAUGACAUAAUCAACAACUGGAAAUUAUUUUUCAACUUAUUUUCUAUUAUAUUACCAAAUAUCAGAAAAUAAUUUAUUUUUCCAGAAUUUAUUUUCUUAAAAAAACUACUUUAGAGCAAAUAAACGAAUCUUAUAUAACCUUUAUUAUAUUAUACUUCAGAGCCAAUUUCUGAUUAUUAUAAUGUAUAUAAAAAAAUCAUAUUUACAUUAUUUAAAAAAUCAUAUCAACAAUUUAGAUAUUUUAAAAGGCCAUAAAAACAUAUUAUUUUCUAUUGUAACUGCCACGUAAUUUAUUCCAUCUAGGUAAAAGGAUCAUCAUCAGGUGAGCAAAUCAUAUUUUUUUUUGUCUAUAAACAUUCAUCCAAGUUUAAUUUUUUAAGUCAAUAUUGUGUUUGUUUUUUUAUUCAAAAAAUAUUUUUAAAUUUUUUUGAGAAUUUAUUUUUGUUUCAAAUUAUUUUUUAUGAUUUUUUAUUGAUGUUAAAGUUAAAUUUUAAAAAUAAAAAAUAUUAUUCUAAUAAAUUUUCAAACAAGAUAUAUAUAUUUUUUAAAAUAUCAUUUAAAACAAAAAAACAAUAACUAUUAGAAUAUGAAACGCUAACUAACAUGUCAGGAAGAUCCGAGCCGUUAAAAAAAGAGAAUGCACGGACACGUUAUGCAAAGAAGGCUUUUGUAUCGAUACAUACCCCCCUCGUUGGACUCCAUAUUUCCACCCUCUUUUCAACAAACCCACCAUUUCUCUCUUAUACUCUCUCUUAUAAUUUCUUCUCUCUUUUUUGAUAUGGCAGAUUGGGGGCCAGUGAUAGUAGCAGUGGUGCUGUUUGUGCUGUUAACACCGGGGCUGCUGUUUCAGAUACCUGGAAAGAGCAGGGUGGUGGAGUUUGGGAAUAUGCAGACAAGUGGUGCUUCCAUUGCUGUACAUGCUAUUGUUUUUUCUGGGCUCAUCACUAUCUUCCUUGUUGCCAUUGGUGUUCACAUCUAUGCCGCUAAGUAAUUCUUGUAGUCCCUCUUCUUCUUCUUCUUCUUUUGCCCUUUUGUUUUUUCUCCCAAGUUUAUAGAACUUUUGUUAUUGUUGAUAUGGUUCUUCUUAGUUUUUUUUUUAUUUAAAUAAUCUGGUGAUUAUAUGGGAUUUGAGCAGUACUGAUAUAAACUAUCCAUACAGAGUAUGAUUUCUGCGUCUGGUAUUGAUUUCUAUCUGUUGUACGCUGAAACCUGGAAGUAAACAUGUGAUCAUCAUUCCUAUCUGCUGAGAUGAGUUUUGAGGACCGACACUUCACUGUUCUCGAGUUUAGGUCUUGUUUGGCCCAUGAAAAAAUGCUGUAUACUGUGUGAGUGUGUAGAUCAGGAUCUCAGCUUGAAUAACUUUUGCUAUUAAAAGGGAGUUUGAGAUUAAAUUAUUUUUUAAAAGUUUUUUUAUUUAUAAAUGUAUUAAAAUAAUUUUUAAUAUUUUUAAAAUUUGAUAUUAACCUAUCAAAAAUAAAAAAUAUAUAUAUUUAAAAAUAAAAUAAAAAAAUUUACAAAACUGCGUUUCAACAGCACGCCAAACAACCUUUAAUAAGCAAUAAAAUAGAAGUUGUAAUUGAGCAUUUGUUGAACCAUGCUGACUAGAAAGAGGAGCACUGAGAAACGAUUGGUCGUUGGUAAACGGGGUUGAGAGUAUCAUAAGAAUAUCAUGAUGUGGUUACGUAAUUUAUAAUUAAGAUUGAGAUUCUAUCUUGAAAAUCUGAUAGGAAUGUAAUAUAAUAAAAAUUUAUUUCAAGUCAUCGGUGCUAUUAAAAUGAAAUAAAUGAUGCCAUGAAACUAGUUGUUAUUUUUAUUAUUUUUUAUAUAUUUGGAUUUAAUUAGUUAAUAUAUUUCGUUUAUAAUUUUUAAAAUUAUAUUCAAUAAUAAAAAACUGAAUAAUAAAAAAAUUUGCAAAAAAAUUCAAAUUUGACUUUGGUAACAACGGGCUUGGGAGUUGGGCCCCUUUCAAGGGCUUUCUAAUCUGAUCUAUUCCAGAAGCAAUGACUUUAGCCCAAUGUCUCCAGCCUCGAGUCCCUUUGGAAACAAGGCUAACAAGCUCCUUGGUCGCGGCAAAAGGAGAUUUUGCAAAACAUUUAAAAGGCUAACGGCUCAUAACUUAUGUUGGAAGUUAGGCGGGUUGAUUCAUGGGUUGUCGGAUCAAUCCAACUUAUAAUUCCUGAGACAACGACAUUUCAGAGUUUUUUUAAAAAAUAAUAAUGAUAUUAUUUUAAUAAAAAAAACCGGUUCAAAAUAAAAUUUAGUCGACCUAGGAUCUAGGUUCACCUGCUAGCCGGGUUUUAUAUCUAUAUUGCAAAAUAAUAAUGAGUCGACAUAGGAGAUAGUGACAUAAAACAAAUGUUUAGGUUGCUUGAGAUUAUUGUGGUGGUUGUUUUUUAAAGUGUUUUUUUGUUUAUAAAUAUAUUGAAAUAAUAUAUAUUUUUUAUUUUUAAAAAAUUAUUUUAACCUCGGCACAUCAAAAUAAUUAAAAAAAAUUAAAAAAUAAUCUUCAAGAAAAAUAAUAAUAAUUCAUGUCUUAAUGCCAAGUUUAAACUAUGUUGUAUUAGCAGGUUAGGGAACACAGUAGCUGAUUGGUUAGCGAGAUUUGCUAGAAUUAGUACCUUUUAGAAAGUGUGGUAUUUUUUUUUUUAAGUGUUUUUUUUAAAUGUAUUAAAAAAAAUUUUAUUUUUUAAAAAUUAUUUUUGACAUCAACAUAUUAAAAUGAUCUGAAAAUACCAAAAAAAUAUUAAUCUAAAAUUAAAAAAUUAAAAAAUUAAAAUUUUUAAUUUUUAAAACACAAAAACAAACAGGUCAUAUUCCACCCAUGACCUUAUUUCAUCACUCAUUAUUAAAGAACUUGUCUUUGAUGUAGCAACAUGCUAUAUAAACAUAUUGAUGUGUUUUUUUUUCCGCAGCCGUGGGCACCGACCCUUUAAGGACUGUCUGUCACCCACCUAUGCGUCUAAUGAUGUUAUGGUUGUAUCCCUGAAGGGUAUAGCUUAACUUAUCAAGUUCUAAAUUUGCUUCCUAGAGAUCAUCAGUUUGAGUCUCAUAAAUUUUAGGGUCACUGGAAACUUAUAUGAUCAUUAAUUUUAAAAUUCAUAAAAAUUAGUCGAGAUACAAGUUAUUUAAACAGUAACAUUAAUAAUAAAAAAAUAAUAAUAUUGUGGUUGCUGGAUCUUGCACUCGAGAAGUAUAGAUCACUGCUUAAGGGCCUAAGGCAGUAGCGUGGCGAUCAGGUUACCUUUGAUGUUACGUGUAAUCCAUAGCUUCAUUGCCACACAAGACUUGCCAUUCACAUAAUUAGGGUGAGCAUUCCUGAUUAGUUCUUUCUCUCUUAUCCGACUAAUUUGAUGAUUUGGGUAAGACGAAUUUUAUUAUCUGUUAUAUUUUUUUACCUCAAAUAUUUUAAAAAUUGCAAUUAUGUAAAAGGACUAGAUCCAAGAAGAAUUUUGACAGGUCAAAAUAAAAUAAAAUCGAAGGAAAAUUGCAUGUCCAUUAAUUUUUUGAAUUUAUAAUUGAAAGAUUUUAAGAAAGUAUGAUUUGGAUUUUUUAUCCUAUUAAUUCUACCCGGUUUUUUUUUAAUAAUUACCCAAAAUAUUACUUAUUUUAUGAGAUUUUAAAGAAUCAUUAACCAACUAGUUUAUUUCCCGCGCUCUCACUACAACUUAACCAAAAAUAUUUUUAAUGUAAAAAAGUAAUAAAUAGACUAUAAAAAACUUUUUGAUUUUAUCAUUAAACUUGGCACAAUAAUUGAAACUUGAAAACACUUGACCUAACUAUUUGCUUAGCUCAGGUUUUAAAUUAAAUUGCAUGAGAGUUGUCAUAAUAUAAUCUUGUUAGCUGGGCAGACCUAAAACAAAUCAAAUGAAAAAAAAAAAGAAACAUAGCAUGUUAACCUUAGUCAACCUGCUAAACCCACGACCCGGGUUAUCGACUCCAUUAAGUUGAAUUGUUUAUUUUAUUUUAUUAUAUGAUAAAAAAAUAUAAAAAAUAAUUUAUCAUUAACCUAAUACUUAAUAAAAAAAUUCAAUUAAAAAAACCCCACCUCAAACUGUAAAAUUGAAAAAAAAAAGAAAAAAAAAAGAGAGCCCAACCACACUAACUAAGCCACAUGCUCCUGAUCCAAUAAUUGUUUUCCUGCUUUUUAUUUGGAAAAAAAAAUACAUAAAUAACAGGUCAUCUAUCGUCUAAAUAAAAAUACUAAGGCCCAAAUCAUCUAGUAGGUGAUCCAAUGGUAAAAGCUUGAGACCAAGAGGUUUGCUCCCCCUGUGGUCUCAAGUUCGAGCCCUGUGGUUGCUAAUAUGAUGGUCACUGGAGACUUACAUGAUCGUUAACUUCAGAACCCGUGGGAUUAGUCGAGAUGCAUCAAGCUGGCUCAAACACCUACAUUAAUAAAAAAAAAUACUAGCACCCAAGAUGUAGCUCGAACUCACGAUCUCGGUCUCGACCCGCGCGCUAUACCCAAUAGAGGUAAGAUAGAGAAUUUUUAUCUAAUCAAUUAAAAAAAUAAACCACCCCCAUUUGUUUUAGUGCUCUCCCUGCUGCUGCUGCCCUACAACUCGAUGUUUGAAUUUGUUUGGUCAGUGGAUCCACAUCGUUUCUUGGUAAACUCCAUUGGAGGCUUUAUUGAAAAUUCAAAACACGUAGCAGCCGCCUCCGACGAAUUACAAGUAGACAACACUAUCCACAAGUCGAAGAAAGAGAGAAAGGAGGAGGUUUCUUCCCCUUCUUUUCUGAGAAAAGUGGAAUAAAGAGUUGGCUUCUCGAGUUAAAAUAUUAUCCUGCCAGCCCCACCUCUGGUCCAUUUCCAUCGCCCUUUUCAUCUGAUCACAUCAUCUCAAAAUGUCACCAUUAAUUCUUUGAUAUAAAGUUAUCUACGUUUCGAAUUGUUAUUGAAUAUGCAUCACAGCCUCCCCACCUGUAUAGCUAGCUGUAUGCAUCAUCACCACGCUUUUGUUUGUUUUUGUUUUUUUGUUCUUGUGGACUCAUUCAAAAUCAGCACCUAAAAUUAGCUGCAAAACUGCUGUUUGUCAUCAUACCUUGUUAUAGGAACCCGCAUGUUGUUCAUUCAGAGAAUGUUUUUUUUUUAUAUAUAUAUAGAAAGAACCCUUAUCUGAAAGAAAUUAUGAUUUGUUGGGUGGAGAAAAUUCUAUUAAUUUCUAUAAAUAUUUUAUUCACGAUUUAUUAAGCCCUUUCGAGGUUUCUAUGAAUGUUAUGAUUAGGUUAUCAUGAAAAGAUAUUAACUCAAUAUUUAUUUUAGUUUUAAUUUUGAUUUUUUAACACUUAAUUAUUUUAUAUUGAUUAAAUUUUGUUUUAUUUUGCAAAAUCAAGUAUCAACCGCGCCCUAAAUAUUUCUCUUAAUAUUGCGAGGUCCUCGUGUCAGGUAUCCAAAAUAAACUAUCAAGUCAAAUAUCAAAUAAUACUAAUGUGAAUGGAUCAAAUUGAAAAAUAAAAGUUCAAAGAUCAAAAUUAAAAAAGGCACAUGAAUUCCCCCUUGAUUAUGCAAAUCACUCCUUGAUUUUGAUAGAAUAAAGAGACUAGAUAUUAAUUUAAUCUUUAAAUUUGGUCCACAAAGUUAUAAUUAUUCAAAAUAAAUAAAAUUAAUUUUUUUUUUCAAACCAAGGAUUAACUGAGCGACAGAAUAUCUCCUUAGCAUAUCGAGAUCCCUUACGUAAGUAUAAAAAAAAAAAAGCAAGACUAAUCAUAAAAUCAAAACAAUAUUAAAGGAUCAACUAAAAAAGAAAGAAAGAUUAAAGCUCCAAAUAUAAAAAAUUAUAGAAACUAAAAAAAAUAAAAUACUGGUCGAAUAAACAAUAUUUAUGAUAAAACAUUAAGCACUUUUAGGUUUUUAUUAAUAAGUUGAAACUCCUAUUUUAAUUUUUUUUUAUAAAGGCAGGACAUUUUGCACUGUACAAUCAUUAUAUCUUUGAUUCAAAUAUUAUCUCUUUCUCCUCGUUCAUAUAUUUGAGUUAAUUGCUUCUCUAAUCCCUCAAGUUCUACAAUGUUUUCUCAAGAUUUGUUUUUUAAUCAAUCUUUUUAAUCCAUGUUUAUCUCUUAAAAUGUUAUCACGUUUCUCUUAAUCUUUAUCUUAUAAUAAAAAAUUAUUUUAAAGAGGAUUGAUGAUAAUCUCCAUAAUAAUUUCGAUAAAUUUGAUAUCUUAGGUUUAGAAACCAUCCCCCUAAAUAAAAUUAUGGGUACUGAUAGAUAUAUCAUAUUAAAAUGGAUAUGAUUUUUAUUUUAAAAUCAAUUUAAUCAUAAAACUUUAAUCAUAAUCAUCAAUUAUUACACAUAUAAUUUUAUUUAAAUGAAUAAAACACUGUGGUUCUCCUGUAUUGACUACUAACCACCCUCCUUUUAUUCAAAAGGAUAUGAUGACGAGUUUCACCAGGGACUUAUUUGGCAAAUUAUGAGAUUACUCUCCAUCAAAAUUACUUGAAAAGGGGAAAUCAAAUCAAUCAAAUAUCAGAGGCUCGUGUCAAUCUCUUAUUGGAUGGAAUCGAAUCCUUUCGUUGUCCCAAGUUUACUCUGCGUGUCACCCACCUUCCUAUGUCUCGUCCUCCAAUUUCUUCGAUCUCAACCACCUGUUGGAUUUGUCAUGACCUUGUAUGAUAAAAUUGUAGUCCUUGAAAUUAUCUUGAUUGGUCUUUCCGAUCCUAAAGUUUUCAAAUCUUGCUAUGAAUGUCAAUCAUGGACCGUGCUUGUGAUGAUUACUUCAGAAUAUUUUAAUUACAGUAUUUUUAAAUUUAAUACAUGAUAUUUAAAGAGAUGCAGAGAGAAAGUACACAGGAGGCAAAAAAGAAAUCGACACACUCAUGAAUCACUGGGUUCUUUGAGACCCAAAUGAAAACGUAAUAAAGACAGGAAAAUGCAUGCGACACGUAAGUGGAGUCCGCUGUAAUAACAAUGAAAUAAAAGGGCCUUUCUGCCAAAAAGAGCACUUUAGUGGUAAGGCUGACUUCUAUUCCGUGAUUAUUUUUUAAAAUAUAUUCGUUUGAAAAUAUAUUAAUUUUUUUUAUAAAAAAAAAACUUCAAUUUUUGUUAAAAUGUUUUCCAACCACGUAAACAAACGGCACUGAUUUCGUUCAUCUUAUUUUCUUAUCAUCUACUACGACAUCCUUCCUAAUUUCUUUUUAUCCUCCCUUUUGCCAUAUAAAAAAGGUAAUAUACUUAUCUCGAAGGACAUUAUAUAUAUAUAUAUAUAUAUAUAUAUAUAUAUAUAUAUAUAUACAUAGAGAGAGAGAGAGAGAGAGAGAUGUAGAGGAACGUUUAAUAUAAGGUUUGUUUUUUCCUUCUUGGAGGUAGACAAAUAUGGGGAGAGGGAAAGUGGAGCUAAAAAGAAUAGAGAAUUCAGCUAGCAGGCAAGUAACCUUCUCAAAGAGAAGAAAUGGGCUUCUAAAGAAAGCUUUCGAGCUUUCAAUUCUCUGCGAAGCUGAAGUUUCCCUCAUUAUUUUCUCUCCAAGCGGAAAGUUUUACCAGUUUUCAAGUCAUGAGUCAGUACUUCUUCCUCUCCUCUCAUGUUUACCUUUGUUUUUCUCUGUGUUUUGAAUGCUUUACAAGUUAUAUAAGCAAAUUAACAAGAUCAAGUUUAUUGCUACGACGGUCGCAGCAUGGAGAGGAGCGUUGCUCGGUACCGGAGUGAAGUCGGUCUGCCUGGAACAAAUGACCAACGCUCUAGAUCCUUGGAGGUAAUUACUGUUUCCCUAAAUUCUGCAAGUUUGUAUAGAAAUCCAAAUUAAAGCAUCAUCUUUUUUAUUUUCUUGUGCAUAAAAAGUCUCUUCGAUUUCAGUUAACUGUUGAAGCAAUACUGCUUUAAAAUUAUACAUGAUGUUGACGACCCGUCAAUCGCACGACAAGAUAUUCGAGAAUAGAACCUCCCAUACUUGCUGUUGUUUAACAGUGUCGGUACCGUUUUCAAAGGGCUGUUUUGUUUAUGUUAUUGAAUAUAUUUUUUAAAAUGUUUUUUUAUUCUGAAAAAUAUUAAUUAAUGUUUUUUUUUUAUAAUUUUAAUGUAAUAAUAUUAAAAAUCCAAAUAAUUAGAAAAAAAUCAUUUUAAUAUAUUUUUAAUUAAAAAAUACUUUUAAAAACACGUGUUAUAAAAUAAGAAAUAACCAAAUCACGAGUCUUAUGACUCUUAUCCAUCCAAAUUAAAUGAAAAGAAGAUGGGCAAGCAAGAACCCGACUUGUCGGUCGAAUUUCUGCAAAAUCAAUGAAGAAGAAGACAAGAACGACUCGCUAGCCAUGAAUGGGCUUUGGGCUUUUAUUAAAGCCUAGGUGUUUCUGGAUUGCAGCCCAUGGGUCUCUAAAUUUAUUUAUUUUUAAAUAUUAUUUAAUUUUGAAUUAAUCACAUUUAUUUUUAUACCUUUUCUAUAAAAUAAAAUAUGUUAUUAUUAUUAAUUUUUUCACAACUAUCUUUUAUGUGGUUUUAUAUGCAUGACAAUGUUUUUACUUUAAACUCUUAUAAUUUUUUAGGUUAAAAUUAUUAUUAAGAAAAUAUAAUUAUUCAUAAUAUAAUAUAAUAUAAAUUUUUUUUCUCUAGUAUUUCAAUUUUUAGGUACAAAAAUAGCGCAAAAAAUAAUGCAUAUAUUUUUACUCGAAAAUAAAAUAUUUUUUAUUAAGUGGAGAAAAUAUAUUUAUUAAAAGAUUAUUUAAAAUACAUGUGAAAAAUGUUUGAAUUAUAUGUAAAGUAUUAGAUUUUUUUUUUGUGUAUUUUGCUCCGCCUCGUCUCCUACCACAAAACAAAGAUAAGACGGGAAAAAAAAAAAAAACUUAAAAUUUUGUCCAUCUUACCUCACCGAAUACAAAUCAAUCUUAUUUCUAACAUCUUAUCUCUUACUGUCUCUCUAUCAAACACUACCAAAAUUAUCAUCACAUUAUUAUUUCACAAAUUAUUAUUAAUUUAAUUAUUAUUAUUGUUAUUGUUAAACACAUGUCCACUUCCUUGAAAAGAUCCUGGGUUUGAUUCUCUUCUUCUUGUUUUUUUUUAAGUUUAUAUUAAUUUAAAAAGUUAUAAGUAUAAAAAUUAUAGGGUAAUUAAUAAUCUAAAAAUAUAACUAUUAAAUUAUCUCAUGAUUGCUUGCUAUGUUACUAAUUUAUUUACUUUGACGUAUAAUUUUAUUGAUUUGUUAUCUAAUUAUUUGUUUAUUGGUAACAAUAGUCUAGUUAUUAUUAUUUAUGUUACUAAUUUAUUUGCUUUGACGUAUACUUUUAUUGAUUUGUUAUCUAAUUAUUUGUUUACUGGUAACAAUAGUCUAGUUAUUAUUAUAGUUUAUUUGCUUAUCGGUUCGUAUAAAAGGGGUUGACUAAUAUCUAUCGCCAAGUUCGUUGGUGAAUAUUUAUCCAUGGACAAUAUAUCUAUCUUACUGACGGGUUCAUUGACAGAAUCACCAACAACAUAUUAUGCUGGUGAUUCCAUCGGAGUCCACUAAAAUAAUUAAUAACUCUUUGUAAUUCUCUGAUUAAAAGGUUGAUCAUUUAUUGACAGAAAGUUCAUCGGUCUUUAAACAAAUUGUUUUUUUAAAAUGCUAUCAAACAAUUUCACAAUGGCAUUAAACAACUUCAAACAACUAAUUUAAAAUGAAGAACAAAUUAUAUAUAAUGUAAAAAUCAAUUACAAAUGUUUAUACAAAGCAAUUACAAGCUUCAACGGUAGAUGGAGGGGGAGGGGGAGGAAAAUAUUGUGGAGGUUCAUAAGGGGGAGGAUAAUGACCGGAAAAGUAUGCCUUGAUCUUCUUUAUUUGUUUUUUUGUUCUUCAUAUUUUGCCUCCAUUUCUGCUCCUAAAGCAUUAACUCGUUGAUCAACCAACUCCUCAACGACUGAUGAUGAUUGACUCGAGCCAAAUUAUGGGGUGUCUACAGUCAAGACACUAGAACCCAAUCUUAUAUCUCGGACUGUAGUCAUAGAGGUACCAUAAACCUAGAUUGUAUUCUGAAUGAGUUGAAGGGUCCUCUCCAUACCUGACACACAUGAUAGCGUUAUAUUGUUCCCACACCAAAGAAAAACAAGUUAGAUAUAUGUAUAAAAAAUCAGUAGUCCAAACAAUAUAUAAAAAAUUUCAAAGUCUACUUAUAAAAAAACAUCUCAGCUCGGCUAUUGAUGAACUAUUGCAUCCUUUGCCGUCUAUCAUCUCUCCGUAUCGUGUUUUCAUAUAUAAUUCUAUUGGAGUACGCUCAUGCCCAAGCUAUGGAGACUGAAAAAUAAAUCAAUACUUAAACCUUAUCACAAAUAAUAACUACUAUUUGAAGAAAAAAACUUAAAAAUAAAAUAGGCUCUUACCAGAUGCUUUGCACGGUUAGUGAAAAGAAAUGACUCGCUAGUAUGCUUGCUAAUGAAAUCAUGAAUCUUUUUAUUUCUAUUUGAGGACUCACUUCGUGAGCGCCUUUUAAAAGUGUCUGACAUGAAGAACUAUAAAUAUCUCUCCUAGUCACUCUCUAUGAUGCGAGGAGGUUUACAAUUCUUCGAAACAUCAAAAUCUUCUGACUCAACAUAUCUCAUAGCAUAUUUAUGUGCACCACACCAUAAAUCGCACAACUUGGUUAAAAAUUUCAUUAAGCAAAAAGAAAUUUAUGAAAAAAAGAUUACUAUUAUUCAUAAAACAUACACGUCACACAUUAAAACUUACAUAAUUAUGUUGUGAUUUUCCUAGACUUGCUUUACCACCUAUGAGUUUGUUACAUCCCACCAAAAACUCACCUUGAUUAUGCAUCUACACGUAAACCUUCACCUGAAUAAUCAUGAUUUAUUUUUAUUGCAUCCAUCACCAUAUUCCUAUAAGAGAGGAAGAAGAAUGAGGGAAAGAAUAAGGAUUUGGUUGAUUAUAACACUUUUAGAUUUAUCGAUAAACAUAUCGAUAAAAUAUAAUAUUUGUAAUUCUAAUUCUAUCGGUUAUCGAAGACGUAUUAUUUUAGAUGGAUUCACAAAAAAAAAAGUAUUCGAUAAUCAUAAAAAAUAAAUAUUCCUCAAAUAGUGUCCUGGUUUCAAAGAGCGAACUCAUCUUUAAAGAUGAGAAUUGUCAAGGGUUUACAAGGAGCUUGGUAUUGGUACGUUUAGGCAAUGUGGGAUUCUAACAAGUAUUAUGAGUUUAUGACUCUUUCCUAGUUUUCUUGGUGCUUGAUGUCAGAUGAAUUGCUUGGCCUAUCCAAAAAAAAAAAAAAAAAACCCUAAUAUGUACAAGCAUCACUAGACUUUAAGUACAAAUACGUGCUUAUGAUCUCUCAAUAUCUACUAAACCAAAAAUUGAUACAUUUUUCCCCUUGGAGUGAAUUAAAUAGAUUUCAUGAUGGACUGCAACAUCUUUUAUAGUUCUCUCUGAUUUUGCUAGCAUCUCAUGGAUUUUCUACCUCGUUUAACAGUUUUGGAGAUGUGAGAUUGAAGAGUUAAGGAGAACAAUAACUAAAACAGAAGCACAGCUUAGGUAUGUAUGUUCCAUGCACCUCUUUAUACCAUCAUUGUAAAUUAAUUUAUAAUGGUUAGCCGCCGCCGCCUCCUCCUCCUCCUCCCACUCCUCCUGAUAACUGAUCAGUACUAUCAUCGAACCGUUGCUUUAUUAGGCACUUUAUUGGAGAAGAUAUAGCACCGCUGGGGUUGAAAGAGUUGAAGCAACUGGAGCGACAGUUAAAGACAGGGGUUGAGCGUAUCCGCUCUAAGAAGGUAGAUCAUUUUAUAUAUUUACUUAGAAAUAAAAUAGCAAGAGAGAAAAACAGGGUAAUCAUUUUAUAUAUUUUUGUGAAAACCCAGUAUAUAUAUAUAUAUAUAUAUAUAUAUAUAUAUAUAUAUAUAUAUUUGAAAACAAUUUAUUUUGACUCGCAUGUGAUUAAUUGUGAUCCACAGAAACGAGUCAUCUCAGAGCACAUCAAAUUGUUGAAGAGCGAGGUAAGGAGAAGCUCUAGCUCAUAUGCUCCUAGCUAUGUAUCUUCAACCAUCAGAGCUCAUAUUAACAGAUUAUUUCUUGAUUUAUACGAUCAUCUUCGGAUUUGAAUGAAAUAUAAUAGAAUAUAUAUUGAAUAAAAAUCCAAACUUUCUUGUUGAAAUAUUGCAGCAAAGAGCCCUUCAAGAGGAGAAUGCUCGUCUUCAGAAAAGAGUGAGAUAUUCAAAACUGCCACCUUAAAAUUGUAUUUUUUUUCUCAAGAAAAUAAAAGCAUAGGUUAAAUUAAUUAGAGUUGGAGUUUGAAAUUUUAAUUAUUAUUAUUAUUUGCCUAUAAUUAAUUUUUGGGGUUAAUUAAGUUGCAUGAGCUGCCCGAUGCCAAUGUAAGCUCGAGGAUUCCGGAACCAAAUGCAUGUAAUGCUUUUCAUCAGCAAAGGUAAUUAAUCAAUUUUACUAAUUAUUAAUCCAUGCAAAUUAAUUAUUUUUUUCUCUUCGGUUCAUCACACAAAUUAAGGUCUUUUUUGUUUUUAAUUAAUGUGGUUGCCUUUAAAUUUUAAGCUUACCCUCUUAUCAUCACAAUAAAAUUGAGAAAACCGGAUCAUCGAAUUAGAAACAACAAGAUAUAAAUACAUUUACUCGAUCAAACGAUUUUAAAUGUAUGAAAUUACAUGAUUUUUACAAUUGAAUGUCUGAUAUUUAAUUUUAUCCAAAUAGGUGUUCAAUUCUGUAAUUUUGCAUAAUAAAGUGUUUAAGUGAAUAUAUGUUAAUCAAAUAUUGAUUUAUUCGUUAAGUAAUUAAUUACAUGGACGUCGGCAUCGAAGAUAACAAUUAUGUUAAUCAAAUAUUGAUUUAUUCUUUUGCGAGUGCUGAAUUCUCGAAAUUAAUGCAGGAUUUUUCUUGAGGGAUCUCACCAAUAAACAGGCGGUGAACGGUCCUUUACAAGAAGCUAUAAUCUUCAAAAAUGAACCUCGUGUGGUGGCUGGGUUCGUGGUGAUAAUAAAUUGCCUUCCUCUUUAUUUGCAUAAAGCUUUGGAGGCUGAUGAUGCCCCCUUGGUAUUUCGGUUGUGUUCUUUCGACUUGUGGUGUAUAAAGUGUUCCCAUGAAAAAGAAAAAAACAAGAGAGAAGUCUAUAAACUAAGUGUAUAAAAUUUAACUAAAUAGCCUAGCUCGUGGUAUGUUUUCUUUGGAACAACCCCUCUUAAUUACAGGAAUGAUGAACGAGUCAAAUCUGUUGAAAAAAAAAUUGAUCGGAUUAUGGGAUAUUUUGAAUUUUAUUUUAAAAUCAAAUCGAUUUUUCAUCAAGUUGAUAGAUUAUGGAUUAUCCUAUAUCAGGUCAAAACCAUGUUAAAUUUAAAAUGAGGUUUUUUUUUUAAUUAUCCUUAAUCCGAGGAGUAGCAUAGCUGCUAGUUUAGAUGAUGGCAUGUUAUUGGCAUAGCCGCUGAUAUAGUCGUCGCUGAGUUGGGGUUUCAUCAACUAUAAAAAGAGUUUUCGAGAACUGUUUUUUUGUUCAUUUUCCAUAGAUGAUAUCAAUGAUGAAGCUAGAAAAAACCCUUAGGAGAAAGAUUAGAGGGCUUUCCAUGGACUGAUAAAACUAGAUCUGGGAGACUUGGUGGGCCCAACAAGACUUGAAAAAAAAACAAUCUAGAGCUUAAGUCGAUAUAAUAUUUGUACAAGUGACGGGAAGAGCGAAUUGUAUUCUCUAGUCUUAAAUGCUUGUUAAGCCUUGUAUUAUACUUGUUUUGUCUAGAGACAUGAAAUGUAGAAAGGAGCUCUGAAAUCUGAGCUCUAUAGAAAUGAACUCUGUUUAUAUAGAUUUUUUUAAGAUAAAUAUCUUAAAAAAUAUAUAAAUUAUAAGAUAUUUAAUAUAAAUAUCUUAGAUAUCUAUAUAGAGAUAUUUAUGGAGAUGUGUAUAUUAUAUAAAACACUGUGUAGGUUCGAUUGGACUCGAUCUAAGAAUUAAUAUUAUUGUGUAGUUUUUUCAUGUAUCAUUGACUAGUCUUCGAUAAAGUUUUUAUAUGUAUAAGAAUCCACGAGGAGGUGCCAUGAGCAAUUAGAUUCUUAAUUCUAAAUUUGUUUUUGUAACACAAAUUCUUAAUGAAAGUGUAUAUACAAAAAAUAGACAUUUUUUUUAUGUACUUGGGCUCAUUAUUAUUACAUUAUAUUAUAGAGAACGGUAAAAGGCAUAGGGGAAAUAUUAUUUUAUCAAGCACUGUGGACUCACACUCACGGGGCAUUGCGAGUUUACUGUGUCCAUGAGUUUUUUUUUCUGUUUUUUUUUUUACUUUACCCUUUAAGAGCCUAAUUGGAGGCUAAUUUAGCUAAAAUUAUUAAGGAAUGACAAAAUUAAAAAAUAAAGGACUAAAAUGAAACACAUAAAGAAGAUGGGUGGUGUUCUUGAAUUGUUUUAAAAACAUUCAACUUAGUCAUCAUUCUUUACUAAUUAUAACAACUGGAUCCUUUUAAUUUUUAAAUUUUUAAUAAAAAUUAAUUUUAAUUCAAAACUUUAUUUUUUUAGUUUUUUGUUUAAGAGAUGAGAGAAAAAGUCAUCAUAUUUCAGUUAUCCCACGGACGUCUUCCAAUCCAUAACAUCUUUAAAAAGAACACAGGAAGGUUUUCAACAACCUAACUCGUCACUUUACAUAUAAUAUAAUUAUAUAUAAACCAAAUAUAUAGUUGGAAAUGAAAGACUUUCUUUUUAUAAUGUUGUGUUCAUUAUUCAUUAAACAAAAAGAUUCGACAGGAUAGGAUCAAAUUAUAUGACGACCUUUUUCUUUUUCUAACCUUUUGUUCUACUUUAUGGAUGCAGCCUGAAGAGACCAUCUCUAACGCAUCAAACCUUUAAUCAGACGAGAUUGAAAAGAUCAAAUUAUUUAUAUUUUUUAAUUUUUUUAAUUUAUUGUUAUUGUUUUUUUCCAAAAAAAAUUAUUUCAACCAAAGAUUUAAGCUUUUUAAACGAGGUUGUUUUGGUUUCCUUCUCCGCUGUAUCUUCACCAGUCACCACCUUAUCCUCCGCCAGGACGACACAAUCCCUAAUUCCAAACAUGAUGCAACAACCGGGAUUCGCCGGAGUGGGGGUCCCACAACCAGAUCAGCAACAGCAGUACCAACAAUAACAGCAGCAAUGGAUGAUGCAGCAACAGCAACAAUCGCAACCGGUUACGAAUAACCGCCAGUUCCUCCUCCGACUCAAUACGGUUCAGCCGCCGGAAGUGGGGGAGGUGGAGACGAGAUUAAGUCGUUGUGGAUCGGGGAUUUGCAGCAGUGGAUGGAUGAGAAUUACCUUCUUAGCAUCUUUGCUGCCACUGGAGAGUUAUUCGUAAUAAGCAAACAGGUUAUCCAGAGGGUUGUGGUUUUAUUGAGUUUAUAAGUCGUGCUGCAGCAGAGAGGAUUUUGCAGACAUACAACGGCACAACAAUGCCAAAUAGUGAGCAGGCUUUCCGGCUGAACUGGGCUGCCCUUGGUGCUGGUGAGAGGCGCUAAGAUGAUGGGCCUGAUUAUACAGUUUUUGUUGGAGAUUGGGCUGCUGAUGCCAAUGAUUACCUUCCACAAGAAACAUUUAGAAAUGUGAAACCAUCUGUGAAAGGUGCAAAAGUUGUUCCUGACGAUAUGGAUUUAUUAGGUUUGCAGAUGAAAAUGAACAAAGACGUGCAUGGUUGAGACGGUUCUCUGAGACUUUUAUUAUACUAUAGUCAUUUAUAACGAUCCAAUAUUAUUGAUUAAUACAAUUCUCUUGUUUUAUUUUUUUCAUAGUACGAGAAUAUCCAUGUCGAUCGUAUCUUGUUGUUUCAAGAUUGUGUUUGAAAGUGUGUUUUUUUAAAAUUUUAAUUAUUUUAAUUAUAUUUUGUAUUUUUGGUUAAUGUAAAAUAUAAAUUUUAAAAAAUAAAAAAUAUAUUAUAUUAAUAUAUUUCCAAGCAAAAAUUAUAUGUCCUUAAAUAUAAUUAUUUGUCAAAUCAAUCGAGAUUUAUUUUAAAUAUCCAUGGAUAUAUUAGAGAAUAUAAUGCAGAUAAGAUUAUGGAGCGGUUAGAAUCAAUAUAAAAAAUCAAAUUAUUCAUGAUUUGUAGAUUGAUUUAAUUUGUUACCAUAAUCUCUUAUUAUAUUCACAAUAUAAACAUGGUCAUUUGAAAUAAUUUAAUACUAUUUUUAAUAUAUUUAUCUCUUAUUUUAUUUUAUUUUUUUCUUCAUGCUGUGUAAGUGGAAACUGCAGAGGAGGUCCAUUUCGAGUAGAAGCACCACUUAGGUGCAAUCAUAGGCGGAGGUAUGGCAAAGGCUAGGGUGGGCUUUAGCCUAGGUCAAGAUUUUAUCAAUAUUUUUUAAUUAGUUUUAUGUAAAAUAAAUUUGUAAUUUUUGAUUAAAUUAUCAAAAAAUUCUGAAAAUUUGCGUGGAGCCUUCUAAUAUGAUGUUUUAGCUUGAGUUAAAAUUUCAGAGUUUUUGAAGAAAUUUAGAAAUUUGAUGAAAAAUCACAAUUUGACUAGUUUUAAGUUAUUUGACGUAAUUUUCAAUCCGACCAUCAGAUCGAGCUGAAAUUUUACGAGGGAUCUUAAAAUAUAUUGAAUAAAAUCUGGUUAAAAUUUUAGGAUGAACGGAACUUGGUAGUGCUAACAAAAAAAAGGACCGUCAAAUAAAAGCAAAAUAACUCAUUAAGAGUAAAAUAAUUAUUUACCAUUAAAAAAUAAAACAAAUCAGCUCCUCCUUCCUUUUAUAUGUUGCCGACUGGGCAGAAGCAGAAUAGAAAAAGAAAGAAAAGAAAAGGCGAGAGAGAAAUAGAAAAGAGUAAGGGAAAAACAUAAAAAAAAAAAUCAAAGGAAAAAAAUAAAAAAAGUGAAAGAAUAACCUUGUAAACUUACAAAGUCCAACUUAUAAAACACUAAUCUAUGGAAGAAUCAAGUGAAGAAAGGAGGAAAUGAAAGAGGAAAAAAAUUUAAUUACUUUGUUUUCUAGUUGACAUGAGAUUGUUAUUUUAUCCCGGUUGAGGAGUUGUUACAAUAUCGAUUCAGAUUCGAUUAUAGAUGAAUUAUAUUCCACAAAACAUCAAAGGAUGUAACUUUAAUAGUGAGUUUAUUUUUACUUUCGCUUUAAUUUUAUGUAUUUUCAAAUUUAUUUUUUAAUAUUUUGGGUAGUGUAUUUGAAUUAAAACUUUACUGUUAAUUUCAAAAAUUCAUGUACAUGAGUUAAUAAUCAAUCUUAAAAAAUAUUUAUAUAUUUAUUUAAUAGUCCAGGACAAAAAAAAUUACUGGCUCCGCCCUUGGGUGCAAUGGUUAUAGAACUGAAUGCUACAGAAACUUCCACAAUCUACAUUAUGAUAGCUAGUAGACAUACAAUUAAUUAAGCAUAUAAAAUUAAGAUGAGAUGUUGAGGAAAUUAAGUAUAUAAAAAAGAUAUAUACUUGCUUCCACUGGUAUAUAUAUAUAAGCUUAAUCAAAUCACUCAAGCCUAAACCGUUGCCGAACGCUUGAGAUGUAACUUGCAGCUCUGGCAUCAAUGCUUUCAUCACCAGUUAGGAACUUGUCUUGACCAUUAUAAAUGUUAUGUGGAUGAUCCAGAUUUCCAUCAUUUUUUCUGCGCACAGAAGCAACUGAUGAAGAUCGGCUCGGAUUGACUGAGCUAUCAUAAUGCACAGUAGAUGAUGAUGGAUUGGAUGCUUGAUGCAGAGACAUGACCAGCUUGACACUGCUGGUACUGAACCACCCUCUUUGCUUAUAGUUUGCUUCCAUUGAUUCAAAAACAGCUCUUCUUUCUUCUUUCUGCUAUAUAUAUGUGUGUGUUUUUGUGGUGAAAAUCCAGGAUCAGAAGUGCUGGUAUUUAUAGCAGUGACUUGGUCCAACUUGUUUCAAAUGGAUAAUGGUCGAUCAAAAAAUAUCUUGUAGUAGCUACAGAAUGCUAGCAACAGGAUCUGGAUCAGCAAGAUAGUUGAAAAAAUGAUCCAUGGUGAUAAUAACUUAUCCUGCUUUGGGGGUGCCUGGAGAUAACCCUCCAGCUCUGUGCCUAUCCUUUUACUUGGGCACUUUACGGGAUGUAAAAAGAUGCUUCCGUAUAUAAUUUAGCUGUUGAAUUUCCAGUCCAAAUACAUAUGUAUAAUGCUUCUCUAGC
rnacentral:lncRNA from 1 species